CACCAAGCAAAUCAACACAAGCACCCAAUUUCAAAGUGUCAAUUGGACAUGUGUCUUUCGCCGGUUUAUUUUUUGGUGGACAUGGACUAGUAGGACUAGGAGUACUCCCUCCUGAGCUUGGCGGGUUAAGCACUGGAGGGACUGGAAGGUGUGGUAGGACUGGUGGAAUAGGCAAAGUUGGAGGGAUAGGCAAAGUUGGAGGAAUUGGCAAAGUUGGUGGAAUAGGCAAAGUUGGAGGGAUUGGAAGGUGUGGAAGGACUGGAGGAAUAGGCAAAGUUGGAGGGAUUGGAAGGUGUGGAAGAACUGGAGGAAUAGGCAAUGUUGGAGGAAUUGUAACAGGUGGUUUCACAAUUGGUGGUUUCACAAUUGGUUUUUUACCUGGCUUGUGUUUCUUAGGGGGUUUUCCACAAGUGCCACAACCAAGAAUUGGUGUAGCUGAAGAGAUGAAGAGCAUGCAAAUGAUGAGGUAAGCAUAGAACUUUGAUGAUGAGGACUCCAUGUUUUUCUCUUAGUAAUUACAAAGAGAAAGAAAUGGAGAAAAAGGGAAUUAGAGUGUAGAAUGGAGUGAUUGUAAGAAGAAGAAGUGAGAGGUGAUAUAUAGGAAUUGUGAUAGGAAGGAGUAUGAUAAGAAUACAAAAGGGCUUUAUUAUAGCAUAUCACGUGAACAUGGUGCUAGACACAUUCUAAAGCCUACUUCCAAGUUUUGCAAGCUGGCAAACCUUACAAGUGUACAUUACAUGAAUCAAUUUCCAUCUAUAUGUAAAAAAAUUCAUGAAACACCUUUAAUUUACUGCCAUCUUAUCUGUGCUAUCUUACCUUAAUUAAUUUGUUAAAGCUUGCUAGUGUUUUAGGGGAAAUGAAACACCUUAUAAAGUUUAAUCAAAACAGUACCUUCCUUUUGUAGGGAUUCAUAAUUUGGUCUAAUUCUUACUUUGAUUGAUUAAAGUGUAUGUGUAGAUAAAAGUUUCAAUUAUUAGUGAUCUUUUUCUUUAAUUGAGUAAUUAAUAACUUUUCUCGUUUGAUUUAUUUGCCCAAUCAAAAUAAAAAAUUGAACUAUUAAUGAUCAAGUGAAUUUUGUUUUUGAUGAUAAAAAUGAUUGAUAUCUGAGAUCUAGGUUUUUGAUUAAUAUUUGAUAAUAUAUAAUAGCAUAUAUAAAUGGUCCACAUUUUUUUUUGUUUUAACAUAUAUAUAACAUGGUCCACUUAGAUGUCAAUUUUGCAUAAUGUCAUGCACUAGUUUAUUUUUGGGAAUUUGUGAUUGAACUUUCCUUACCCUAAUUGUAUUCCUCAGAUUCUUACUUGUGACAAAAUUAUUUUCUUUGAAAUGGUUUUUCAAUUUGUAAAAAUUUCAUUAAUUGUUAUUUUAGAAAAAGCAAAAUAUCGUAGUCAAUCACUAAUCCAUAGCACAAGAAAUUUAAAUGCUAGGAUGAGCUAGCAAAGGCAUAUACACCUAUAUGCAGAAAUGUAGACAGCAUGCUCUCAAUCCUAUGAUAUUUGUGACAUCAAGCAAUCCUCUUAAGAGAGUGAUGAAUGAGACCAUGAGCAUAUAUUCCUUGUACUACUUUAUAAAUAUUGUUGCUGAUUAAUUUUUAAAAUAAAUUAUUAGAUUUGAAAAUCAUAUAUUGAAAUGAAUAGUAAUUGUUCUCUAUGCACUCUUUUCACCAUUCAAAUAGUUCCUAGAAAAGAUAAACAGGACAAUAUAGCUGCGUUUUAGGCAAAUCGAAUAUUUUCACAAAUAUCGAAAGUAUAAACUUCCAUUGGCAAUUUAGCAAGUCACACAUACAUUAACUUCAUUAUGUCCAACAAAUAAUUGUCCUCAAGUUUGAUUUAGUUUUCUUCUGUUUUUUUAUAGAAUAAGUUUGGGUAGAUGCUAAAGUCAUCAAUUAUAUGUUAAUAGACCCUGAGAUAUGGGAAAAUUUUGGACUACUCCUAACCUAAGGGAUAAUAUGUAGAAACGGAGUUUCGUGGAAGUCUAUGACGAAUGUAACAUUUUUUUUUGUCUACUAAUUAUCCUAAGUCAAUUAUUUAAUUUUGUUUUUAUCCUGAUUUCUUCACCCACACAUAUAUAUAGUUAUAUUUUUCUAUCUCUUUUCUUUUUUCGAGUGAAAUAUGUUUAUAUACUAAUUCUCCUAUGUCAAUUAUUUAAUAUUUUUUUUUUUACUAAAAUCAAAUAAACUUUUUAUAUGGGAUGUUUGAGGAAUAUGAGAUUGGAUGUAAAGUAUGAGUAAGAGUUCCAAAAUUAAAUGAAAAAAAGGAGGGUGAACAUCUACAAGUGAGAUACACGUAUUUAAUGUCUCAAAAUUUUGGAUGAAGAAAUUAUGUUUAAUUUCACUUACGUGGUUACUUAAAGGUCAAUGUAACAAUCCUUAAAUAUCUUCAUGAUACCACAUAGAUUAGGUUUUUUCUACAUUACCCUAUCUUGUUUAGAGGGUAUUUACCCCUUCAAGAUAUCAACCAAUCAAAAUGUAAUAUACAAAAUGUAACAUUAAAUGUCAAAUAAACGAGUCAAUUUUUUUAAGCAAAAUUACACUAAAUGUCCUUUAUUUUAUUUAUUUGCAACACAUUAGUCCUUUAUCUUUUUUUUUAAUCCCAUUUAGGUCAUUUAUCUAUUAAAAUGUGCACAAGUUAAUCUUUUUCUUCAUUUUUCUAUUAAAAAAACAUGAAAAUAUUAAUUUUAUUAAUAACUUUGUUUUAUAAAAUAUUUUUUAAUAAAUAAAUUCAUAAACCCUAUAAACAUUUCAUCCUCAUAUUCAUCUUCAUCUUCUUCCUUAAAUCAAAAAAAUUGUCCAUCCAAAUAAACCUUCAAAUUUCUUAAAUAUUUUCACUUUCAUCUUCUUCUAAACACCAAAUUCAAAAUCCCCAAAUUUCAUAAACCCUAAUUUUACCAAACCUAUAAAUUUGGAUUUAAAGAAAAAUCUCACAAUUUGGAUUGUGAACCUCUCAUGUUUGAGUGCUCAAGCAUAGUUUUAGUAAAGAUCAUCACAACUUAGAUCUUGUAAUUUUCUCAUCAAAUACAAUCAUCACUUUCCCUAUAGCUUUCCUAUCUCCGAUGUUAGUGAAGGCGAGGUUGGCCUGCAACAAUAAAAAAUUGUUUAUACCAUUGUAUAGCACUAGUCCAAAAUCCAAAAAGGUUAAGAAUCUAAAAAUUAAAGCUAAACAGCUAGCUCAUAUGCACAAUCCUCGUCAAGUUCACAUCAAACACCAUUAUAAUCAAAUUUCAUAGAAAACAAGAAACCCGAUACUUAGAAUUCUCGAUUUCUUUCUUUAAAUCCAAAAUUCAGAUUUAUGGGUUUGGUAAACUUAGGGUUUAUAAAAUUUGAGUAUUUUGAAUUUUGUGUUUAGAAGAAGAUGGAAGUAGAAAUAUUUAAGGAAUUUGAAGGUUUGUUUGGAUGGACAAUUUUUUUGAUUUAAGGAAGAAGAUGAAUGUGAUGAAUAUGAGGAUGAAAUGUUCAUAGGAUUUAUGAAUUUAUUUAUUUUUAUUAAAAAAAUAUUUUAUAAAACAAAGGUAUUAAUAAAAUUAUUAUUUUCAUUUUUUUUAAUAGAAAUAUGAAAAAAAGGAUUAACUUGUGCACAUUUUAAUAGAUAAAGGACCUUAAUGGGACAAAAAAAAGUUAAAGGGCUAAUGCGUUACAAAUAAAUAAGAUAAAGGACCUUUAGUGUUAUAUGAUGGGUUAAAUUUGAUGUGAAAUUUUAAUUGUUACAAGACCUAUAGUGUAAAUUAAUUAAGAUUGAAUACCUAAAUAUAUAAUUAAAUUAAAUGUUACCUUAGGAUUAAAAUUAUUAUUAUUAUUUUUUUUGAUUGGUUGCUAUCUUAAAAGGGUAAAUACCCCCUAAAUAAGAUAGGGUAAUCUAGACCUCACCGAUAGACUAUGUUAGUUUUGACGGGUAUAACAGUUUAUACCUAUUUUUUUUUAUUCACACUAAUAAGCGGUUUACUUACUCAAUUUUUAUUUUCAUGCUGAAGGGUGAAAAUCUUAAAGUUUCAUUGUAAAAAAAUAGUGAACUAAACUUCCAACCCUCACAUUAUUUUUAGAUAUUUCAUUUUCAUUUAUAAGUUUUUAAAUAUUUCGAGUAUUUGUGAGAACAACGAUGCUAUACACAGCGAGAAGAAUGAUCUUGAAUCGAUCACGAAUGAAAACAAGCCAAUAUAGGAGGUUUAAGCGGAAAUCAUGGGAGGAAGGGAGAAAAAGAUGAAAAUCAUAAAAUAGUGGAUGGAUGACAUACAUGCCACAUGUGUCGUGAAAAAUUCGAGAUAUUACUAUUUCACUUUAAAUAUCAUUUUUCUUGUUAAAAUUUUACACGACACAUAUGACAUGUAUGUAUGCAUUGCUAUCCAUCCACUAUUUUAUGGUUUCCAUCUUUUUCUACCAUCCUCCCAUUGAUUUCCGCUCAAAACUCCUUUUCAUUGAGGAUCAUUCUUCUUGCUGUGUAUAUCAUCUUCCCCAAACACACUCAUGGGAAUUAAUAUCACAAAUUUACCAAUUUAACACUUGUUGCCUUAUUAGGAGGACCGCAUUUAGCGCUUAGACAGAAUCGAAUCUGUACUAUAUUACAUAUUGGGUUUGAAGUCAACUUCGCUUUUUUACUUUAUCAUGUUGCUUUCUUUCACUUAUUUUAUUUUAUUUAUUAAUAAUAGAAUAAUACUGUAUCUCUUUCUCUGAUUAAGAGCAGUAUAAUCACGAAGAGAUAACAGGGUACAUGCAUGCAAUGCAAAUCAUGCUUUGUUUUUAGAGAAACCAGCGUGCGAAGACUCAGAUGGUUAUAAAUACGUGUCUACAUAUUAUUGGAAUUGAUCUCUAAACAAUCCGUCUCUCUUAUUUGAUUUUUUUAAUUUAAAUUUUUUUUAAGAGUGCAUCGGAUGCACUCGUUAGUAAGACUCUUAUUAUUGGCUUAUAGCAAUAUGCUACUCUACUACAACACGACGUUCAAAUUUUGAUUAAAAGAGGUGUUUAGUAGUGUUCUUUAUAUCCCAAAUAAGAUUACUUUGAAUUGUUUUCUUAUUUCAAUUUUUUAAAAUUAAAUCAGAAUAUUGUUAUAACCGUACUCCUCGUGAGCUUAUCUCAGUUAAUUAGUAGGAACAAUGCAUAGUAUAUGCAAGAUCUGGAGUUCGAACCCCGACCACCACGAGAAAAAGAAUAUAGCUCCCUCCAAAAAUUUCCCUUCUAAAACCACCAUCUUCGAAACAUAUCUUAGAAAAUAAGAAGACUCAGACACUAAUAUAGUUAGCUGUCACAUUGACAAUUUGUGAUCAAGAAAUCGGACUGAUUGUAAUAAUAAUAAGUCUUGUGAUUGUUUUAUUGAUAAUCAAAGAUAAUAUAUUAAUUCAAAAAAGUAUAAAAGGUACUCCAAUGAUAAUACAUAUAAAAUGAUAUAAUCACUAAUUAAAGUAAAUAUAAACAAUAAUAAGUGAUGUGAUUUACUUCUAUUCAAAUGAUAGAAAGGAUAAAGAUGAUUAUUAUUAUAUAUAAAAUGUUACACAAGACCGUUUGUUAAUAAAAAAGUUCAAGAUGAAUAUUUAUCGCAACCAAAGGAAGGUUGUAGGAAAAUAAUUGUAAAGAAAGAAGCAUGAGUAAAACAAGUAGAAAUGACCAAAGCAAUGUCAAAUAUGUACCGCAAAGUACACCAUGAAAAGAUAAAAGAAGAGUGUGUAGAUAUAUAGUAAGGGAAAGUGGGGAAAGAGUACAGGUUGGCAACCAUGUGAAAAAGUUUGUUAAGAGAAUGGGGAAAGAAUAGAGAAAGAUUCAGAGUAGUAGCUACUGUACAUGUCUCUCUGAUUGUGAUGUAUUGUAAUAUUGGUGUUUGCAUGUCCGUGAUGGGAUAAAGACUUUAUAAAGUUUUCUUAGUUUUUGUAAUUUUGUAUAUCCGUGAAUGAACUUUCCUUCCUUUGAUGUGAUAUCAUAUCUCUUAUUUUCCUUUCUUUCACCACCCAAUUUCUGUGUUAGCUUAACGUGCAUGUGCCCAAUACCACGUGAGAAUAAUCAUUUGUAUUCCAAUGAAUGAAAGAAGAAAUUUUUUAAUCAUAAGUUUAAUUACGAUUGAAUUGGCAUAUUGAUUGAAAUUGUCAGCAUUGGAUAAAUGUGAUCAUACGAAAGAAUAUGCCACGCCUACAAACUCAUUUGCCUAUUUUGAUAUUUGAUGAUCUCCUAAGUUGAAGUUAUUGAUAUAUCAUCAUGGGAAAAAAUAGCACCAAGAGAAUAAAAAAUGGUUAACCACUAUGUGAUAGAAGCAUACAACAAAGCCAAUAACGGGUUAACAACAACGAGACAAUAGUGUAAUGGUUGAGUUUAAAUGUCAGUGGCACAUCUACUAUAAAUGUGUUAAAUAUUUGAUAUAUAAGAGAUAUGACUUAUAUAUAUAUGUAAUGGCUUAAUGUUUGGAUGAAGAUGUAGUGUUAGAUCUCUUGGUGGUCCUAGAUAAUUGGCAUACUAUUGCUCUCGAUGUACUCUCCAGAUUCUCCAACAAAUGAUAUUAUAGCUCUAGUUUGACUUGACGGAGGAGCAAUAGUAACCACGAUGUUUGAUUGUUGUAUAAGAAGUAUUUUUAACGAUGUAGUCACGAGGCAUGUUUUGUUGGUUGUAACGACAGUGCAAGUAUAAUAUAUGAAAGGCUGAUAAUUGAGGGGAAGAUUGUUGAGUUCAUAUGUGAGUGAUUAGUCUCACAUUGACCGUAAAUGAAUUGAAUGUUUGAUAUAUAAGAGAGGUGACCUAUAUGCGAAUGUCUUGAAGUUUUGGAUAAAGAUGUAUAGAUAUCAUAGUGGUCAUGGCAUUAGUUUGUUUUUUUUUUCCUCAAAGCUCCAUUGAUCUCUCCCAACAAGUUGUAUCAAAGGCCAAGUUUUAAUUGGCGAGAGAGCGAAAGUGAAUAUCUCAAUGUUUGGACUUGCUACAAAAGUCUUCAUGUUAGUGUAGUCAGAAGACAUGUUAUUAUGCCGGUAAUAAUGGUGAUGCAAGUAUUGGAUAUAGGUCCACACUUGAGGGAAGAUUGUUGACUUCAAGUGUGAGUGAUUAGUCUCGUAUCAACAUAUGAAUGAAUUUAAUGUCAGAUAUAUGCAAGAGAAGACUCAUAUACUCAAUGCAUUGAGAUUUUAUAUGGAGACAUGAUUUUUGAUCUCGUAAUCCUAGAUCGUUGGUUUGUUGUUAUUUUCGGCGCUCUUCAUAAAUCUCCAACAUAAAUAAACUGUUAGAACAACAACCAAUUAUGAAAGGGAAAUUAAACGGCAACCGUAAACAAUAGAUAAACAAAGUUUGGUAAUAAAAUUCGGUCAAUUGUGCCCGUAUAAUCGUGUACGAACCAUCCCUACCCACUUGUGCGUACCUAUGAACCAUGUUCAACGCAAAUCAAUAUGAAAAACUUUAUAUGCGCCAAAAACUUCAACAAAAUGACAUUUUAUCUGCUCUAAUUAAUGCUUCUUGAAUCUUUCAAACAUACAAUCAGAACACUGGUCUGUUCACCACAUCGCUUGAAGUUUGUUGUCCUUCAAAACAUGCCGCAUUUGCUUCAGGUAGCUUGCAUUGCACUAAACCACAAAUCCAAAUACCCAAACCCACGAGACUUUCCAUGGCCAUGAUCAUCAUCUAUGAUAUUCCAUUCAUAAACCAUUAUCAUAGACACAUAACGAAAGAGAAAAAAGAAUGGAAAAGAAAUUUAAAUCAGAAAGAAAAAAAAAGGUGAAAUCCGAAACAAUAUUUUCUCUAAAUAAAAUGAAACAAAGAAAGAGAAAAACAAAAUUAGGAAAUAAGAUAAUUUUUUUUUUAUUGUAAAUGUCAUGACUCUUAAUAUCAUAUUAUGUUUGUUAUAUUAGACUUAACCCAUCCUUACAAGAUCAACUUAUAAAUAGAAACGGAUCUUAGAUUUCAAGUUUUUUUUUUUUUUAAAAGAUCUUAGAUUUCAAGUUGUAGGGGCCAACUCUAAACAAUAUGUAUAUCAUAUUAUCAUAUGAAGAGGUUAAUGAUAGAACUAAUUAAAUGGCCCAAGGUCAAAGUAUAAAAAUUAAACUCAAACUCAAGUAUCUUGUGCCUAUACAUUGAAGUAACAUGGUAUGAAAUCCAUACAAAAGAGUAAUGCUAUAUGAACAUAUAUCAUAGACAACAUGCUUGUUCACCUUAUAAAUGCAUCAUUUACCGUAUUUAUAAGAUGAACAUGUAUCAUUGCAUGUUUCUCCUAAUAUAAAUAUAAUUUUUUUUACAAUCCUUAUUUUUUUUAGAGAGAUACGACCCUUAUAUUUAAACACUCUUUAUAUUCAUACACUCAUUCAACAUUUCAUUUUUUUACUUCUGUCUCUUCCUUUUAUAUUAUUUAUUUAUCACAUCUAUCAUAUCACUCUCUCUAUUUUUAUCUAUUUCAUGACGUCGAAUGAAUUUUGGGUGUGCAACAAUAAUUUCAUUUUUUUUUAUAUGUAAAAAAAGAAGCAUUGGAAAUCGCCACAACUAAGUUAAAAUUUUAUGAAAUUUUGAUGCAAGUUAAAUGUUAAAAAAGGUUCGGUCCACAACUUUUUGACCACAGGAUCCAGCAAGAUGAUAGACAAAUGACAUUAAAACCAAUUAAAUGGAAUUUGUCGUGUGUGGUAUCUCCAAAGGUUCCAUACUGCAGCCAGCAAACAUUGAAAUGAAUAGAUCCUUAAUUUUCCAGCAAGAAAUUAAAAAAAAAAGCAUAUGGUUUCUCAUGUGUCAUCAUAAUUGUAUUGGACGUGGCUAUCAAUAACAACAAUGCGAUUGAAUCAAGUACUCCCAUUUUUGGAGGUUUACUGGGGUGGGGGAGGAUUGGCUGGAUAUAUCAAAAUGUACAUGAAGGUGUAAACACAUGGGGUGUUUAGACAUAUAUGCAUGAGAAAUAAUAUAAUAAUAACAUAAUGUUUUUGAUGAAAAUUAUUGAUAUGCAAUGUGUCAAGUGGCAAUAGUUUACAGAAACGGGGGAGAUCGAUCAUGAAUAAAUAUCUAGAUUGAGAUGAUGGGUGGCUUAAAUCGAUUUCAAUGAAUAAUAUCAGAGACAACCAUGGUAUAUGAUGUGAUCAAUGGCAUGGAUGGAGGGGGAGCCAAAUGGAGGGGGAGCGCACGACAAGAUGUGUCGUGUAAAUCCCACGAAAUAGUUAACUUCUCUCUUUGCAUAUUAUUUUUAUUAAAAAAAAUGAUUGUGUUUCUUUUUUAUACUAACCGUAACAUUGUUAGUCCUUUGAAAUAACAUUUUACAUGAAAUCGUUACUAGUAAUCAACUCUCCAAUGGUGGCUUUGAAAGUUCCUAAAAAAAAUGGUGGCUUUGAAAGUAAUUUGACAUAAAAAUGCUCUAAUGGUAGUAAAAAGAGUAACCUCCCAUGGCGGUGCCUUUCCAAAUGUUCUCGCCGCCGACAGCGACGUCGGAACUAGUAAACAUGUUGAAACAAUUCACCUGCCAGAGACAUAUUGUUGGUGGUGAUUCUGCAGUGGUUGGCAACCUGUGGCAGCAACCAAUUCUGGUGUUAUGAUGGUGGUUGGGGCGACAAUGAUCAAGACAACGGCGGAGACGGUGCUUGCGGCUUUUAUGAAGGUGCUGGUCAAGAGACGUGUAAGCACAGAUGUGUUGAAAGCUUGUUCGUGUGGGUUCGUGCAGUUUUUUUUUAUCGUGCGAUAUAGCAACGCUCUUGUUUUUUUUUUUUUUUUUUUUUUUUUAUAAAAUCUAGUAAAAGUAAAUUUUUAUUGGUAGGUUUAAAGUUAGAGAAUCUUAUUCUUGGAUCUACCCUGAAUAAUUACAAAAACAUUGUGAACCAACUUAGAAUCUUAAAUGGUAUAAAAAAAAUUAGAAUCUUAAAUAAGUAUGCUUCAGUAUUUUGCCCUAAUGUUUUCUUCUCUUUAGAAAUAGAAAUGAGUCGCCUACCUUUUUAUUAUUAUAUUUUUUCUAUAACUCAGAGCCAUUCUUUCUCAAGAGUGGGUUCUCUCCAUAUUUUUUUCCACUCAUUUUUUAAUAAUAAAAAAGAAUGUCUUUUACUUGUACAUAAUAUUAAAAAAAAUUCGGUUGAAAUUUAAUUUUAAACUUAUAUUCAUUUCAGUUUUUAUACUUUACAAAAAAAAAAUGUAACAAUGAAAAAAUUAAAUGAUAAAAGUAGCAAUAAAAAUUAAACCUAGGUAUAAAUUAAUUUUAGGUAAAUUAAUAAGGGUAAAAAUGAUAAGAUAUACGAGUUAUAAUCUCAACCGCUAUUCAAAAGAAUGAGGUCCAUUCCUUAACACUUCAAUACCUUCAUUUAAACCUGCCUAACAAAAAUUUAAUUUUUUGACAGGAACAAUGGGAAUGUCGGUCGAACAUUGGAGUCCUGCCGUUUGACAAGUUUGAAUUACCUCAUUCAAAGGAAGACAAUUGUUGUAGCUGGAAUGUGCAUUCAUUCGAUACCUAAUGACGAUCUUCUGGUGGAAUCAAACUUUUGAUGAUAUCUUCAGUUGAUCUCAGCAACGUCACCCGCAUAUCGAUCCACUGGAACAUGUUGUGCUCCCAAAAUAUGCUCGUCACGUUUUGGUCGUUCGUUAAUUCCAUCCAAGUGAAUGAUACUCUCCCAUCGUCGAGCGUUGGAUGUUUAUACCGAACGUGUUCCACCCACCUUGUGUCUCUGGGGUUGAUUCCUUGGUUGAAUUCAGCCAGUUCAUCCUUGAGACCUCUUAACGUUACACCAACCUUCAUCCUCUGAGGUUCUCCGCCGUUGAAUUGUGCAUGAACAUCGAUUCACUCGGCCACUGUUUCAAAUCUACACAAUUAGAAAUUAAAAAUAAUCAAUGAAAAACUCAUUCAAACACUUGUAGUGAAAAUUUGACAUAAACCCUAAAAAUCCAAAACAAACCCUAAAAAUUUUAUAAAAUUAAAAAAAAAAAAAAUAUAAGCAAUAUAACUUCAUUAUAAGAGGUAUUCAUAAUAUAUGUUAAUAGCAUUUUAGAUCUACAACAUAACUAUAUUAAAAACAAAUAUUCAAACCUUACAAAGUAUUUAAAAUUCGAAAAAAAAUAUAAAUUCAAGCAAUAUAACUUCAUUAUAACAUGUAUUCAUAAUAUAUGUUAAUAGCAUUUCAGAUCUACAACAUAACUAUAUUAAAAACAAAAAUUCAAAAUUUAAUAAUUAAACAACAACUAAAAUUAUAAACAUAUAAACACAUAUACUAACUAAAAUGUAUGACAAUAGCAUAAGUGAUAACUUACUUGUGAUUUAGUGGAAGAAAUUUUGGAUGAUUUGGUAGAGUUUUUUUAGUUGGAGAGAGAGAGAGUGAAAAUUUGAGAGAAAGAUGGUGAUGGUGAUGAUGGAGUGAGUGUUUGGAUUAUGACUACUGACUUGAAUAUAUCACGAACACAAUGACAGUUAACAACUGCUGGAAGCUAGUGGCAGUUAACUGUUGGCGUAUGAUCUAACGGUUGUUAACUGCCGCUGGAGUAAAAGCGUCAUUUACUUAUAUCAAUAGAAAGUAUUCUAUGUCAAAAACAAUUAUCUCACACAAGCCUCGUCAUUCGAAUCAUCUCAGUUUUUUAGUAUCAUGUUUGCAUUCUUACAAGAAUCGAAUCAUGGUAAAACCUUAGAAAGGUUGAUUCAGAUCAUGUUGUAUUUUUUUUAUAAAUGGGGAGUUAUACAAAAUCUGAUUUUAAUAGAAUCUAGAUUUGUUCGAGUUUGAAUCUCUAUUUGCUUGACCGUCUAGUUUUAGUUGUCGUUGUUAUUUGUUUGGACAUGUUGAAUUCACAACACUUAAAAAAUAGAGGUAGUAACCAUUUUUGUUUACAAAAGGAGGCAGUACCUAAUAUGACAUCAUAUUAGUAAAAAUAUUAUGUAAUUUUUCAUCCUACAAAAUUCCAAACAACUAUAUUAUUUAGACACACAAAAAUUAACACCUUAUACAAAUGAGUGUGGAUGUUGAACUCGUGUGAUGAGAGCGGAAAAUGGCAUGUGCUAUGAGAAAAAUAUAUAAAAGUUGAAAACCGCAUAAUUAUACGAUGUUGUACUUAGAUUGUGUCCAAAACAUUUCUCAAUACUUACAAAUAUUAAUUGUUAGUCUUUCAAAAAAAAAUAUAUUAAUUGUUAGUAUAUGAUGUUAGUGUGUAGUCGGGACUAAAAAGUGAAAACGAUGACUACAAAAAUAGGAAAUUUUAAAGAGAAUAAAAAUAUAUUUAAUCCAAAAAUUUAACCGUAAAAGUUAUCUACACUAUAUAUAUAUAUAUAUAUAUAGUGUGUUUUUUAACUAACUCUACAUAUAGCGUUUUAUUAAUCAUUUCUCACUACUUAGAUAUUUAAAUAUGUUUUGAAGGAAAUAAUACCAUAACAUAUCCAACUAAUAAGAUCUACUAGGUAUAUUAUAAUGGGGUACUCCCCCUGAUUUGUCCUUGCUUCUAUACCCACUCAUCAUGCUCAAGGUGCAAUCAGUGGCAUGGAUUCAGUUGGGAUGGGGAAGGAAAAAAAAAAGAUAUAAUUUAUUCACCUCCAAACUAAUUAACCACUAAAAUCAUUCUUGACAGUGCUGCUUACCUAAUAUAAACCACAUUUAGCAUUUACCUAAUUAGAUUAGAUAGUUGACCCUCAUGAUAAGGUUGUCUUUUUUUAGGAUGUUGUCUUCUUAAACCGUAACUUUUAGUAGGUACCUCUAUUGGGAGGAUAAGAAAAAUGGAUGGUUAUUACUUAUAUAGUUUGUCCUAUACAAUCAUCAUUUCUCUCAUCUAUGACGUGUGAUUAUGCAAAAAAAAAAAGGUGAAUUUUUUUAUUACAAAAAAUGUGUAUUUGUUGACUAAUAAAUGAGAUUAUAUAAUUUAAUAGAUUAGCUUUUGUUGAAAUAUAAAGAUGUAAUCAAAAUGCAAUAUACCUAAAAAGAAAAUGGUCAAAAAUGAAUUUCUUUUAGGGAUUGAUUGAAUUAAUGAAUUGAAAAACACGUUUCUGAAUGUAAAUGACCAAAAAUACAAUUAACCUUUUUUUUUUUUUUUUCCUAUGCUUUAUAUAUAGUGAUGUUGUUCAAAUAGUUCAAACAACAAUGGUUCCUAGCUUUCCGCCAAUUAUGAUGGCACCAAAAACGCCACACUAGACAUAAAAAAUGGUAAGAGACAGAGCUUCCUAUUGAAUUUCCAGACUGUCGUUUACCCCAAACAAAAACAUAACCCCAUUUUUGGACAUUAAAUCUAAUCAAAAUGGACACUUUGUUUUUUUCUUCUUCCUUGUUUGGGUUUUGGUGUUGUUGUUGUUGCACCUUCUCCAAAACCAAUUCUGUUACACUUUUCUUUUCUUUCCACCCAACAACAACAACGACGACCCUUUACCUUAACCUUUUAAAAAAUCUCAUUUUUCACUCGAAAAGUUACAUGUUUUGAGCAUCAAUAUGGGGAUAUUGUAUGGAAUGGUGGCAAGGGGACAGGUUGUUUUGGCCGAGUUUAGCGUGAUUCAAAGCAAUGCAAGUGUUGUAGCUAAACAAAUACUUAACCAGAUUAAUCAAGGGACUAAUAGUUACAAUGAUAGCAAUGUUUCAUUUUCACACGAUCGUUAUGUUUUUCAUGUUAGAAGAACCGAUGGCCUGACGGUUCUUUGUAUGGCUGAUGAAGCAUUCGGAAGUAUGCAUCAAUUUCUUCUAUCUCUCUUAUUUUUAUUGAUUGUGUUUGGAAUUUGGAUUGGUCAAUUGAAUGAAACAAUUAUGAUCCAAAUAUUAUGUUGUUUACCAUCCAUGAAUGAACUUGAACAAAUGUUCUGUUUGAAUGACUGCAGGAAGGAUUCCAUUUUCAUUUCUUGAAGAUAUUCAUAAUAGAUUUGUGAAGACAUAUGCCGGUGCAAUUCUUUCAGCUCCUGCCUAUACCAUGAAUGAUGAAUUCUCAAGGAUCCUCAGCCAACAGAUGGAUUAUUACUCUACCGACCCAAAUGCUGAUAGAUUAAACCGUCUCAAAGGUGAAAUGACUCAGGUAAGUUCACAAUCGUUAAUUUGUUUCUCUAUAUGAAAAAAAGUUGAAUGCUGGCUAAUUAUGUUCCAUUUAUUUACAUUAAGAUAUGAAGACUAAAUUAUACCUUAAUAUAUUUGUGGUAUGAUAAAUAUAUAUAGGUGAGAACCGUUAUGCUUGAUAACAUUGAGAAAGUGUUGGAGAGAGGUGGUCGUUUGGAAAUGCUGGUUGAGAAAACAGCAACAAUGAAUACCAAUUCAGUUCGUUUCAAAAGGCAGGCUCGUCGAUAUAAAAAUAACAUGUGGUGGAGUAAUGUUAGGCUAACGUAAGUGUCAAUUUCUAAACGUUGAGGUUAAGCUUUUUGAUUAUUUAAAUUUAAAUUUCUAAUGUUUCUUCAUCUCUUCUUUAUGCAGGGUUGCACUCAUUAUGAUUUUUGCCAUCGUCUUUUACAUUAUACUCGCAUUUAUGUGUCAUGGUCCUUUUCUGACUUCGUGUUGGAGAUAAGCUCUCAAGGCUAACUGUAAAUUUUAUUUUAUUUUUGCAAUGCUUUUUUGACCAAUAAUGUAUACUGGGUCAAAGAAAAAAGAAAUAUUCAUACUUGUAUUUAUUGGGAUGCAAUGUUACCGUUUUAGGCUAGUGCACGUUUUAGAAAAUUGUUACGCAAUGUGGAUGAGUUUGCAUUGCAAGAUACCCUAUUGUAUGGGUAUAUUUACAAUUCUGAAGGAACACUAAUUUUUUCCCUAUUGUUCCCUUCAUUUCACUCGAUAUUCUAAUUAUUUGAAAUGUGUCAUUUAAAUUUCUUAUUUAUAUGUUAAUUCUUCUCUUAAAUUAGGCCAAACAUUUAGCAUCCCCCAUGACAAUCAAGACUUGCAAAACUUAAGGUAAGAUAAAACUAAACCAUCAAAGAUUAUAACUAGAAAGGCCAGGGUUAAAAUCUUGAAAACUAACCUAGAAACCUAAUUAUAACACUUGAGGUGCUUAGGUUAAAAUGCCCCCAAAAAUGGAAAAAUACUUGGGUGACAUUGGUGACAUUGGCCAAUCACAAUGCCACAAUGCUUGUGUUUCUCUCUCUUUCACAAGCAUUGUGACAUUGUGAUUGGUCAAUGUCACCAAUGUCACCCAACUCUAUGUCACCCAAAUGCUACCCCCAAAAAUGACAAUUAGUGUCGCUUUAAUUUAUGUAUUAAAAAAAAGCUUGAAACCUAAUCAUACCUCUUCAUAACGAGUCAAUUUUUUAAAUAAUUGAUUAUUAUAUUAAGGUGACAACUAGGGUACCCAUAGAAGAAUGGUGGGUAAUUUACCCCAACCAAUACACAUUAGCCACAUAAGCAUAUUUUUAAGUGGUAUCCAUUAACUAUAUUGACACCACUAACAAAUUACUCAUUUUCAUUGGUUGGUGGGUAAAUUAUCCACCAUUAUUCAAAGGUAAUCUAGAAAAAACCUUAUAGUAAUGUUAAUGGAAGUGAUCGUAGUUUUAAUUAUUAUUUUAACAACUAUGACAUCACAUUCUCAGUAAUGACCAGCUAAUGAAACUUUCUAAUUACAAUUAAAACAUAAGAAACACUUUAAUUUAUAGGAAGUUGCAAUCCCUAAAUAAAUACAGAGCAGUUCAAAAGGAAAAAAAAUGUUGUACCUUUACAAGUAAAGACAAAGCCUUUUAUUUAAUUAAACAGCGAGCCAGUCGUUUGACUCAUCUUCAGAAUCCUUACCUUUCAAACGGAUUGCCUUCUGCCGGCCACCUCUCUGGCGUUCACUUAGCUGAACCCAAUCACUUGAACCAUCAGGUGAUGAACCCCUGAUGACCUCCCCAUGACUUGAUAAUUUAUUAUCAGAGCUAUAACUUCCAUCCUCCUCUAAGUCGCUGAAUGAGAUGUCUUCCUGUUGAUGUUUUGUACAGGAAGUCAAUGAAGUAACAUCAAUAUCAGUAUCUGUCAACCAUUUUUCACUAUUGACCGCAUCAUCGAUUUCCAAACCCUUUGCUGCAUUUGUAACCUCGGUCAAUAUCUUAUUUUGAUCAACUGUGAUACUUUCUGUUCCACUGUCCUCCUUACCCUCUUGAUGUGUACCCACAACAUCUGAUUUAUCGCAUUCUCCAGCCUGCAUAUCUUUCCUCUCUUCAAGUUUCCGUAGAAGAACCUCUCUUGCUUCAACAAUCUAACAAAAUAAAAAGAGAAAAACAUAUACAUAAUAUAUCAGACAGUUGGGCUUUGUUGUGGAAGGUUUUAAAAACUCCUCAAACCCUUCCCCUUGUUUAAAAAUAUGCUUUCAGAGACAAACCUAUAGUUGUGUAUGGAAGUUAGUGGGGAAGAGGAGGGAAAGACUUUGAAGGAGAGGGAAUGGGAGAAGGAUGGGUAACCUCUCACCUUGUUUGGAAAGAAGGGUAAAGCCUGAAAUGAGGGGGAUUAAAAAAAGCAAGUAAGGAAGGCAUUGGAGGAAAGUUUCUAAAAAAACCUCAAACCCUUCUCCUUUGUUUUAAGAACUCCCAAGCAAGUGAGAGAUUUUAAUAAACCCUCCCCUCCCUUUCCCUGUUAUCCAAAACCCCCCUCCAAACAAAGCCUUAGAAAAUGUUUCCACCCGAAUACGUUCAUAUAGAGCACAAGCCAUAACUAUCCAUAAAUUUAUCUUCGAUUACAUAAAUAUCGAGUGCAAUAGACCAAAUAAUCUGACAAUACUUAUUUUAAUAUAACUGAAUCAUAAGGAUAGAAUGCCAUGAAUAAAGCAAGGACAAACACAAGCUACAGAGGAAACUCGUGCCAAUGAUCUAUGAUAUUUUAUCAAAAAACAAUAACAUAACCAGGCCAUGCAGAGACUGGGUACAAAUAAUAGCAUUAGUAUUUACACAUGUAUCACAUACAUGAUACAACACUACAAGCUGCAUUUUAGAAGAAUAAUAUAAUAGAGAGCAUUACUUCAAUUAAGCAUGUAAAAAUAAAAUAAAGCAUAACCUGUCAUCAAGAGCAUAUGACAAUGGUUAUAUGAAUAUCACCACAAUACUUCAUAUACAAUGCUUUAUGUUCUCCUGACUACAAUCAAUUUUUAUUACUUAUGUGUACUAUACAUGUUCAGCAAAACAUGCAAUAAUUUGUAGUUUUCUGAGUCGCAAUCACCAACAAUGAAAAAAUACAUAUAUAACAUGUUUCACUGGUAAAAUGCAUGAAUAAAACUCACAUAAAAAAGUGGCUUCAAAAGGCUAAUGACUGCAUAUACAUCAAAGGAAUUUACGUAUUUAACAAAAGCUUGGCCUUGUUAUUAUUCAUAUGAAAGUAAGAAAAUAUUGAAUAAACAUAACUUGCCUUUGGAGUCGAUAGGCACUCAAAGUCAUGCUGAUUAAGUCUUGGAAGUAUUAACAAAAAAUAGAUCAUCCAAAACUUUUCCACGUUCAUGUAACUGCAAAGGUUCAUUCUAAGUGUAACAAAUUCAGGCACCAGUUGCUCUAUAGCCAGUGCAUGUUCUCUUUGAGAAUUGGACAGGCUGCAAUCUGCUGAGAAAGAAAUCAAAUUUCCGUAUUAAUAUAUGACAAUCUUAUAUAUUAGUGAAUACAAUAUAGCCAAAAAAAACAUUCAUUUUUCUUCAUUUUUUUUCUUUAUUGUAUUCAUUCUAUCUAAAGAAUAAAGAUUCAAUAUCAAAACCAUUUCUCUUCAAUGAAUAUUUCUGUAAGUAUUAAACUAGAUACGUGCUAAGAAAAACACAAGCACUAUGGACUUUAUAUUGACAGGGAGUGUGAACUAGCUUCACAUGGAAAUAGUUUAUUUUGAAAUCAGCAUUGCAUCAGUUUUUCAUAGAAAUUUCCCCAAUAUAAUUCUAAGAAAUGACAGGCAAAACAAUAAAAUUUGCCAAAUAAAACUGUAUUUUGUUAUACAGAAGCAAUAGCAUUAAGGAUACAAUACAAAAUAGUAAACAAGCAAGAGUAAGAGUUAUCCAUGACACAUGAUAGGGUGCUGAACAUAAAACCUGCAGUUGGGUCUGAUGGAAAUGUUUUAGUGGGUAGGCUUUAAUCGGAAUAGACCCAAUGUUUGGAGAGUUUAUAGCGUAAGAAGAAUAAAUAGGAUACUGCUGAGUGGUAGCUGCUGCCACUUCAGCAGUUAGUUAGAAUAUUUCGAUAUAAUGAUUAGUUGGAGAGUCAUGCAAGUAUUCUGUUAGAACCUGAUGGUUGGCAGAGAGAGAAAGAGACUCUACUCUGAGGAGCAUUAUAUUGCUCUGGUUGUUUGUAUGAUAGCUUGCUCUCUUUUUCUUGUCAUUUCAGUAAUAAUGCUCACAUAAUGAGUAAGAUGAACCUUCAAUUAUUUCUAAAAUUUGUUAAGACAUUAGCCUUUGCGUAUGAACCUUGUGACUUGUGAGCUUAAUAGCUAAAUAAAAUAUCUGUAUUUGAGUACAAAAUGCCAAAAAAUAGAUCAAUUAAAGUUGCCUCCUUAAAAAAAUUAAACUGAAUUGACAUACCAUUUAUUCUUUAGAUAAUCUCUAUAAAAAAUGAUAGCCUUGAGUAAGCAUGCAUCCAAGUUCAGACUGAGGGGAGGUUAAGGUAGCCCUGUUCUAGGGUCAUGGAAUGUCAUAAACCUUAACAAAAGGUUAUGAUUGCACUAAUAGAUUACCUACCAAUGAAGUAUUACAUGUGGUAUUUGAACUCAAGACCUUUUUGUUGACAUUGCUUUAUCUUUAAGGGAUUGAACUCAAGACUUUUUGUUGACAUUGCUUUAUCACUAAGAAAUUAAACUCAAGACCUUUUUGUUGACAUUGCUUUAUGUUUACCAGAUAAACCUACCCUUAUUGGCACAAAAGGAUUUCAUAGACAAACUAAGGUAUCACUUCCAACCCUGAAAACCCUUUUUACCAAACUCUAUGCCACUAGCAUUCACCAUUGUCACUAAUUUAAUUAAAUCAUCAAUUAUACCCGAUCAAAUUCAAUAUGUCAUGUCAUGCAUUCCUCCCAUCUUGGUAGGAAACAUUGCCUUCCCGCCGAUUAUUAUAAACUAUCUCUAUAGCACUGACACUUCUGGUGGAAGGCAUGUCCGGUGUCCAACACCGACACAUGUGAUUACAUUUAAUUAAUUAAUUUUUUUUUCUUUUUCAAAAUUCUACUUCUUUAUGCUCAACUCAACUUAAUAAGAAAAAAGUCAUUAAAUUAAGAGAACAUGUAUAGAAUUAAGUAACUAAUCAGUUUCCAUAACUAGAUUAUACAAAGGAGAUAAUCAUAAUCAGAAGAAAUUAAUAAAUUUAAUUACCAUUAUGGAGUGGGAAGGGAAAUUCGGUCCAACACUCGGGCCUUGAAGAAAUCUCCUUGACGAAACGAACAACAUCAUCAGUUGUUCCAGGCACCGCACCGUCAUCAUCUUCUUCAUGAUCACGCUCUGACUGCAACAAUUGAGAAGCAAGCUUUGAAAUUCCGGUGACGGCUUUUCUUGGGGAGAGAAGAGAGAGUGAGCUCUUGAAGCUUCCACCGAUUUCGACGAGAUCGUUGCGGAUUCCGGUGAGAGUUUUUGAAGGUGAGGUUGACUCACCAGAGGAAGCGGAAGAAGAAGAUGAUGAAGGAGGUGGAGCGAGGAAGUUGGCGACACCGCGGAAAAUAAGGGAGAGGUCUUCCUUGACGCCAUGAUCGACGGCGGUGGACGGCGGUGGUGGAGAGGAGUGGGUGGCGGUGCGGUGAAGAUUGGAAGAUUCUGUGUCAGGGUUGUUGGACUUGAAGAGCCAAGACAUUUUUUCUCUGUAUUUUAAAAAUAAUAAUAAUUUUUUUUUUAUAUAUAAUUUGAAUUUAAACUGUUUAUGCUGUUAAUUGUGUGAAUAGCAGCUUUGGGAAUUCAAUUCAAUCGAAGGGUUUUGGAAAUAUGCAAAGGGAAGGGGAGAGAUUCAAAUGAAAGAGAUAUAAAGAAGAAAUGAACCUUGGCUUAGCUUUCUUUUUAAAAUAUUCAUUGGAGAAAAUUAAAUUAUACUCAUAGUAUAAGAUAGGAAAAUAUUUUCAGCUCAAACUACAACAAUUAAACUCCUUGAACCAUCUCCUCAAAAAAAAUAAAGAUCCGUGAUUCAAUUUUUUUUUUGUACAAAGGAGAUGUUGAGACCCUCAUGGACACGGAAAUAGAUUUGUGACUUUAAUUUGAUUUGCUAAAAAAAUGACAAUAACAUAGAACAACUUUAGUUGUACAACUUUCGAUUUGUAAAACUGUUUCAGGAAUAGAAUAAACUGAAGGCAAGAUAUAUGAUAAAAAUUGAAAUUGUUGUUCCUCUGUUAAAUCAUAGCACAACUUUUCGUCUCAAACACAGGUUGUCUAAGAUACUAAAAUAACAUUUUAUCUAUCAAAAAUCAUACAAGACCAAAAGUUAUUCAAUACUAUAAAAGUUGGAUUAAUACAUAUUUUGGUCCUUUAACUUAUUUUUGGUUUUUAUUUUGGUCUCUAACUAUAAAGUGUCUCAAUUUGGUCUCAUAAGUCUUCCUCCGUUUACUAAUAUGGUCCUCUGCGUUAGUUUUUUAAUGUCUAAAUUUUUUUAUGUGAUUUUAACCAUUUGAUUGCAUGUCCAUUGUAUCUAAUAGUGAACCGUCAGCACCUAAUUUUUUUCACUUUUCAUCAUCUUCUCUCUUCUUCUUCCUCAUGUCGUCAUUAACUUCCAGAUUUUUUUGUAAUUGAAACUUAAAUUCAAAAAAAAAACCAAACCUCAGCUUUACAAUAUCACAAAAAACCAAUAAUCAAAAUAUCUAAAAAAUAAAAUCUGAGUUCCAUCAACAGUCACCAUAACAGAGAAGAAAAAGAAUUCAUCCUAAUCCUUUUAAUCCCUUCACCAUGUUUAUUAAAAACACCUUUAAAAUUCAAUUCAAUUUUUUAACUAAUAAUUUCUUUUUAUAAAUAAUAACACUAUAAAAUCUGAGUUUAUAUUUUUAUUCUUCAUUCCCAAAUCAAAACCAAAAAGCGAUAACACUAGAAAACCUUUUUCUUCUUGCUUCUCUUAAUAAAAAAUUGGAUUACCUAAAAUCUUAAUCCCUUUUCUUCUUCCUUCUCGAUCUGUUGUUGCUCUUGUUGAUUUGAUAAUAAACACGUGCUAUGAGAAAGAGUACCAUGAGGGGCGCUUUCAUGUUUAAGCGAAGAAACAACGGAAGGGAUUUUGGUACGGUGUUUAAGAAGCCAAUCAUGUUUCAAGACACCAAGGGAGGUUGAGAAGUAUUGACGAUUGAAUCAGGAUCUGGUUUCUUCUUACCGAAGAGAUUGAUUUUGGAUAAAUCUGGAAGUGCUAAUGUGUCGAUUGGUGGUUGUUGUGAUAAUAGGGAGGUUGAGAUUAACGGAUGAAGAUUGGGACAACCUACCAUGGAGGUUAGGGUUACUGGUGGUGUUACAAACACAGAACCUAAACACUUCUUUUUUCUCUUAUAAUUUUAAUUCAUGAUGAUGAUGAUGAAAGAGAGCAAAAAAGGGUUGAAUUUGAUUUGCUAUUGUUGUUGCUUCAUUGUUGUUGCUGUUGUUGAUGAUGAUUAGAGUAUUUGGAGAAAUUCUUUUUUUUUUUUUUUUAAUUCAUGAUAAAGAACUUAAAAAUGGUUGAAUUUGGAUUCUGGAUUUUUUUUUUUUUUUGGGUUAAGAUUGAUGAAGAUGAGAGAAGAAGAUGAAGAAAAGUGAAAAGAAUAUUAAAUGUUAGUGGUUCACACUAAAAUACAAUAGACCCUACAUGAUCGAACAAUCCUCUUUUAAAGAAAAAAAUCAAAAGGUUAAAAUUUAAAAAGGUCUAUGGUGGACCAUCUUUAACCAUGGUUUACCUUAGAUAUUUGAUGUUAAAAACUAACAGAGAGGACCAAAACAAUAAACGGCAGAUGAUAUAAGGGACCAAUUUGAGACACUUUAUAGUUAGGGGACCAAAGUGAAAACAGAAAAUAAGUUAAAGGACCAAAUGAUGUAUUAAGCCAUAAAAGUUUGAUGUGUGUUGUCCCAGCGGCUAGCACAAUUUUUACGAGGGGGCAAAAUAUAAAGAAGAAAUAAAAUAUAUUUUGAAAACUAAUAUAUGAAAUUUAAUCAAUAAUGAAAAUAAAUUUACAAUAAUUAUUGCUUAUAUUUAAUGAAACGACAAUGAAGAAACUAAAAUCUAACGAUGAUUAUUUAUAAAAGUUGAACUCUAUAAAGUUUUAAGAAAUCAAAUUUAUCUAUAAUUGACACUAAAUUAAAUAGAUUAUCAAUAUUUUAUUAACAUUAUCCAUCUUUAAACCAACAAAAUUGUUCGGAGUAGUCAAAUAAUAUAUUAAUGGGGUAGCCAUAUACAAAACUAUACUAUUUUUUCAAGUUUUUUUUUCUUCUUUUGGGGUAGCCAUUGCUACCCCAUUCACAUACUAUCAUUCGCCCUUGUGUUGUCUUGUCGUGUACUGUAAUGUCUAGCAUUUACUCUUUAUCAGAUCAAAAGUUAUUCAAUAGCAUAAAAGUUUGUCGUGCGCUGUUUUGCCUUAUGUUGUAUUGUUCCAUCUUGUAUUGUUCUGUCCAAUACUUACUGUUUAGCAGAUCAAACGCACAUAUUUAUAAAAUACGAAAUGAAUCAUUAAACUAAAGAAAAAUGCUAACAAAUGUUUUUGGAAUUUUCAAUAAAAAUAUAUAUUUUUGGGUGCUUGUUAAGGAGUUAAAUAUAAUAAGAUGAAAAUAUAUUACUUAUAUGAAAUAGAAGGAUUGCUUAAUAGAGAUUGAUAUUCUAUUAAGCAAGUCAGUUCUACAAUCAAUUUACUUUUAUGACAUGAGUAUAUUUUGCCUGCCAUUUUGUCGCUGUGAAGAGAUUUAAAAAAAUUGAAUUCUUUUUUGUAGGUACAUAAUAAAAAUCAUUCAAAAUAUGUUCAUUGACUAUCUUGAAAUCAUUUCAUUAAUCAAAAGAACGAAGGAGGAAUGUAAUUUAAGGUUUUGUUUGGGAGUUUGAAGGGGAGGGGAGGGUUUUGAAAAAAAGAAAGGAGCAAGUGGAAAAAAUAGAAGAUAUUGGGAGGAGAGGGCUUUUGAGGUUAAUUUUUUUUCCUCAUAAUAAAAAACCUCCCUCAUUUGGAGGAACUCAAAAAUUGUAUUGGGGGAGAGUUUUGGAGGGUUAUGGAGGGUUUAUAUGAAUUUUUCAAAUUCAAUCUAUGUUGUUAUAAUAUUCUUAAAAUUAAAAGUAUAUUAAUCAUAAGUAUUAGUUUAUCAUUCUCUAAAAAUUUAUUCUUUCAAAAAAUGUGAAUUUUUUGUCAAUUUUACUAUAUAUUUUCUUUUGUGUGAAUCUUGACAAUAAUUCAUAUUGAUCACUGUAUCACACCAAAUAGUAUCAUGAACUAAGGGUGUGUUUGUUUCAAGUUUACCAAAUUUAUUCCUAGGAAUAACAUUCCUUGGAAUAUAAAGAUGGGAAUUUUAUUCCAAGGAAUUUAGGAAAAAUAUAUUUGGUUAUCUUUAUAAUAUUCCUAGGAACCAUAAAAAUAGGGAUUAUAAUAGGUAAACUAUUUAUGAAUUUAUUCUCAUCUUCAUGGAAACUUUAUUUCCACCAUUUUCCUUGGGAAAUUUUUUCUAUUCCCAGGAACAUUUUAUACCAAGGAAUAAAUUUUAGUAAACUUGUAACAAACAUAGGCAUAUACAUUUCUAUCAUUUUAUUUCCAGGAAUCAACAAUUAUAACUUGAAACAAACACACCGUAACAUAUCUUCCACCCACACUACAUGCACAUGAAGUGUUCCUUCCAACAACAAUAGGAGAUAAUUCCUCCUCAAGAUCAAUUGACAUCUCUUUAAAUCUCCUUGUUAUAUCAUAUCAAUAAAUUAGAAUAAGAAGGUCUUAAUCUACAAUAAUUUUACUGUAACAUGCAACAUUUUCUGGAGCUGAACAUGUGUGAGGUUUGAACAUUUCAAAUGUCUUCUCAACGUCUAUUAACACUAUUUUAAAGUGAUAAAAAAAAAUCUUUUUUAUUCGCCUCAUCAAUUAAUUUAACUUUUUGUAUUUCAAAUAAACCAAUUUAUUAGUCGUGAGGGUAACUUAUACAAUUGACUUUUUCUUAUUGAGAUCAGAUUACACAUUAAAUAUGGUCAACUAUUUUUUUUAGGUUGAAAGUCAACUACAUUUCUAUAUUUUUGUUUAUACUCUCUCUAUUUCAAGUUUAAUAUCGUUUAAGAGUUUUACACACAUACUUAAUAAAAAAUAUGUUAACGAAUAUCUCCGAAACACUUUUUAAAGACUUUAAAUAUUUAACUUUUUUAAGAAAUAAUUUCUUAUUUUGGAUUGCUGUCACAAAGACACUCGUUAACAACAAGACCAUAUUUUUAUUAAACUAAUCUUAUUAAAUAUUUAUGUGGUUCUCACCAUCAUAAAUACAAUGUACUGUAUAGUAUUUUCAAGCAGAUAACAUUAAUUAGAAGACAUGGAUGGAAAAAAAUCAAUGAAAAAAUAAAAUUCAUUUUAAACACUUUAAAAUAAAGAAACACUUGUUUGAAAAGGGAUGUAGUACUAAUAUUUUGAGAUAAGUAUAUAUAUUGGGAUUACGCAAAAUGAGGUUAUGUACUUACGAACAAUCCAUCACCGAAACCGUAAAAAGGAAACAUUAAAACCGAUCGAGUGCAUAAGUACAAGGCAAAUGUCCCUCGUUCGUUCGUGUAUAUACGAGACAAGCUGUAUCAAGUUGUCAACCCCUCAACCACUUCUCAUGUCAAAUUUACCCUUGACUCUUCUUCAGACCAUCACCAACUACGAUGCUUGUGAAUAGAGGAGUAUUAUCAUCUCUAACGUUUACAUUUUUAUUUGACUAAAUUAAUAUAUUUUCAGAUGCAUUUUUAAAUGUUAAAUGUAUUUGAGUUACAUCUUAGGAGUUAGUUUAAAGGAUAAGGGUCCCCAAACACGUUUCUACAUUCAACGGUGCAUGAACUUGGACAAUGUGUAACUUUAAACAACUUCAAUAUAUUCACAUUCACACCUUGUGCGAGUUUUCGAUCCAAUUCUCAUUUUUGCAAUCCUUAAAUAACAUGUUAAAUGAGUUUGAAUCUCAUCCCAAAAGUUAGAUAAAAAAAUAAGAACAUUCAAACACAUUUAUACAUCCAACAGUCUGAGAACUUAAGCGAUAUAUAACUUCAAACAACUUCAACAGAUCUAACUUCAUGUAACUAACAUCUACAUUGUAUGAAUGCUGAUACGGUACCGUACCAGGUAUGAGUACAGGAUACAUGAUUUUUUGAAAGAAAAAAAAAAACUAAGUUACUUUAAUAUAUGCAGUGAAACGUCUUUUAUUAUGUAUAACAUUUAAAAAAAAAAAAAAAAAAAAAACAUUUAACAAAAAAAAAAUAUAAAAGGAAAAGUCGUUCAUAAAAUUACUAUAACACAAAUCAAAACAAGAUUAGAAUAUUCAUAGAAAAAAUAAAAAUAAAACAGAAUCAGAAUAGAAGAAUGAUAUAUAUAGUAGAUUAGUAGGUGUUGGAGAAAUGUUAAUUAUAUAGUAAAAAAUUGAGAAAAAUAUAUACAUCAUAAUAACAGGAAAAUUAUCAACAUGAUAAAAAAAUCUUAUAAAAAAACACCAUGAAAAAAGAAUUAGAAAACCUAAUUUUAUAUAAAUUUUGUAGUAAAAAACAAAUAUAUAUUUAUUUAUUGAACCGUGGAUACAUACAUGUACUACUUCACAACAUCCUCGUCUCAUAGGAGCAUCCCGCUUUGAAAACGAAAAAUGAAAUAUUUGAAAAGGAAGCUCAAGUUACACACAUUAUUAUCUAGUAUCAACAUAACUGAAGAGCUUUGGUAGGUAGUUAACUUCAAACAACAACUAUAUAUUUUAGAUUCAUCCUUCUAGAAGAAAGCAAGCCUAAAAAAUAUGAAGUAGAAACAUAUUACAAAAUAUGACUUAAUACAAAGCAAUGAAUAAAAAAAAUUUGUUCCUUGCACUAAAGUUACUCAGUUUACAGUCUUGACAUAUAUUUUCAUUGGAUAAAUUUUGGUCUGAUAAACACAUAAUGAAUAUACUUCCCACCAUGUACAGGGAAUGGAAACUGAAAACAAUACCAAUUCAUCAGGAGCAAAUUUCCUGCUAAUGCGUUAACAGUAACCAAUCAGGGAUAAAAGAAAUUCUAAGUCUGAUUAUCAAUUACCUUGUACAUAAAAAAUCAUAUAGCCAAAACCCUCAUCUGCUAUUUAUUCAAAAAGAAUUUCUCUCUAGCUAUCUAUGGCACACAUGACCUAUGAUACAAAUUUUCUGUUCUCCCACGCAUACAACCAAAUGCGGAGUAUCCAUGUUUUUGCUCCUUAUCCACAAGAAAUGUUUAGAUGAGGCCUGUGUAAGGAUUGUACGAUUGAACAGGCAUACCUGAGCCAUAGGGGUGAACUGUGGCUCCAUAUUGAGGAUUUCCAAAAGGAUUUGCAGAUUGUUGUUGAGGGGCCAUCGUCAUCAUUUGCUGCUGCUGCUGCUGAUACAUGAAAGCCUGUUGCUGGUUUGACAUAGCUGCCAUUUGAACAGAAUGUGGAGCAGCCAUUGUAUUAGAGGCAAAAAAUGGAUCGUGCAUUGUCGGUUGCAUCAUGCCUCCAGCAGGUGCUUGCUCCCAUGGAUUAUAGCUAGCAUUUUGGUUAUUUCUUCUCAGUGCAUCAUCAUAUAGGCUGUCUAAUGUAAGCAUGUCCAAACCUCCAGCCUGAAUACCAAAUGAGUCAUUUCACUUAUUAACAGAAACAUCAAGUAUACAUGCAAGCAAGGGUAAUGAUUGUGAUUCGUUUAGAUGCAUACACAAAUUAAGGGAAAAAUUCCACAAAUUAUAUGUGCUGAUAAAACAUUAAAUGUAGUUUACUACUCCCUCAAUCCCUAUUUAUAAGGAUCAUUUAAGGAAAAAACUUGUCUCUGAAUAUAAGCACUCUUUCGGAUUACUGGAUGCAUUUAUUGCUUUUUUUCAAAGAGUAUAUCCCUAAUUAACACUACUAACCUGUCUUGGAAGAUGAAAAAUCAAUAUUGAAUAGUACAUUUAUAAACUAAGGGCAAUUUAUUAAUAGUUAUACACGAUAUACAUAUUAAAUACACAAUCAAUUUUUCUUGAUAUACUAGUAUGUGAAAAUUGGCAAGGGCCUUAUAAAAAGAUACCAAGGGGGCAUCGAAGAAGAAAGCAUACCAAUUUGCUAGCUGCUGCAGCACUCUCAUUUGAGCUAGGAGCUGUAACAAGAGCCAAUUCCCACCCAGCGGUUCCAUUUGCAUGAUUUGAAACAGCCGAAGGUUGUUGAUCAGCUGAAACCAUCAUUUAAAAGAGAUUGUAUGAGUUGAGGCCAAGACAUGAUAUCUAAUUUCAAUAUCAAACUGAGCAUUCUAAUCUUAACUCUUAAGUUUGUAACUACCAGCAAAAUGCAGAAAAUAGAAAAUGAUGCUGGAAUAUAGUUCAUUUUAUACGGAUUAUACGGAUUAGUCCUACUUGCUCCAUUCCAAAUUAGCAGUUGUUUAAGAUUGCUAUGCAAAUAUUAAGAAAAGUAAUAAUAAAUUUGCUAAUGGACAUGGUAGUUUUACUAAAUUAACCCUAUUCGUUAAUAAAUGCAUGCUUGAUGAUGUCGUUGGUUCAUGAAAAGUUGUAAUAAUAACCACGUCUCAUAUGAUUAAUGUAGUGAGGGAAAAAUUGGGAAGAAAUUAAUGAUGACAAAGUGACAUUUAGUUUGGAAUUUUUUACUUUUGCUAAAAUGACUAUUAAUUUGGAUCAAAGGAGUAACAAUGUGAAACAUCGCUCUUCUUGAAAAGAAAAGAAAUUCAGUUGCUCCAACAAUCCAAUUACUAUUGUUAAUUAUUUUUGAAUGUGCAGAUUAACUGGCUUUUAUUCAAUGUCUUAACAAAAUAGAGGCAAAAGGCCAAAAAAUUACCGGGAACGAUGGCUAAAGCCAAGGCAUUCUUCUCUUCCAACUCUGCAGCAGCUGGAACAGGAUCUUCCAUAUUCUAGUAGGCAAAACAAAAUGGAGAGAAGCUUUUUAGUGCAGGCAAAGCAACUAAGGUAUAUGCAAAGCAACCAACGGUAAUUAAUACAGGGCAACAAAAAAAAAAAAACACAGUAAUUACCAAAAGAUCAGGUGGUGGUUGUACUGGUGGUGUUUCCACUUUCACAGGUUCAGACGGUGGAGGGGGUGAGGGUGCACGUUCCUCCUUCACUUCAGGUUCCUUAUUGUAUUCAAUAGCCAAAACUUCUUUUGGAGCAGCAAUUUUGUUGUCAACGGCCUGUUUUAGAUUAAAAUAAAAUGGAAGCACCGGUUAGUAAAUAUUUUUAAAGCAUAUCAAAUAGUGACUUCAUCAAGAUAUAGAAGAAACAUUUUGAAGUUAUAUGAUUGCAAUAACACAUCAAGUCCUGAAACAACUGGAGAGGAGAAACAGUACGUGGACGACAACUAUGAGCGGCUAAAAUACUAAUAUUGUCUCCCCAAAUACUAAUGUUACCGUGUAAUCCACUAGAUGUUUAUUAAAUACAAACUUGCACUUCGUACAUAAAGCCACAAAGAUUACUGAACAAAACAGGUAUUGAUGUUUGUACAUAUACCUGAUCCUUUCGAACUAUUGCUCCCUGGGGAGCAUCUUUGACAUAGUCUUCCAUGGCUUGCAUAAACGAUGACGGGGGCUUCAAUAUCAAAAAUCAGUUCAUUUAGCAUUGUAUUAUAUUUCAUAAAAUAAUGGAAAAGCAUUGGCAAAAGCAAGCAUGAUAUAAGAUCUAACCAACCUGCUCAACUUUGAUGAACUUCUCUCCACGUCCAAUAUCUAGAUUACGGCAUAUUUCAUAAAACUCUGAUAGUCUCUCAGCCUGGACCCAAAUAAAGCACCAUAGAACAUAAAUUUCAGGAAUACGUGAAUUUAAUAAAAGAAAACGAAAAUUUUGUCAUAAGACAUACCUGCAGCCCAACCCUUCUGUAUAUAUCAAGAGCUUUCAGAGCAUCUUCCCGUUGCAUCUCAAAAAACUGUCACAAAUACACAAUAGUCUCAUAAAUACAUGGGAGGUUACAUUAAGCUUCAAAUUCAUGAAGAUGACAUACCUUAUCAACCAUAUUAACAGUUCCAUCACUAAUAGCUUGAUAAAUUUUAAUGCUCUCCGAAGCAACCUAAUUGCAAUAUAAGGUAUGUUCAGAAAGGUGAUGAAAGCAAAAACAAACACAAAAUUAAGUAUGGUUAAAUAAGUGACCUACCAAUUGGAGUGCUAACUGAAUCACAAAAUUAUUUACAGCUGCUCCUUGUGGCUGCAGCAUACAAAGGUUAAAAACAAUUGGUACGAUAUUAAUGCUGCUGGCAUUAUAAAUUUUGUUCAUUUAAUUCAAACCAGUUGGAUCAAAAGCUCACCUGGCAACCAAUAACUCGAUAGAGAAGCUGUUGUAAAGCUGGCAACUGCUCUAGCAAUUCUGCAGUAUCCAAAUCUUUGGUCCUCUGUGACAAAGUUCAUAAUUGGUAAAUUUUCCUUAUUCAAAGAACAUGUAUGAUGUAUGUGAUGUGACGGCUACUAGUAUUAUAUUACUAUCGAAUAACAUUCAGAUAAUUCAGCUGCUUGAGAAAAAUUCAAAUUCUGAAACAUUAAGUUUAUAAUCUUACAGGACGAUCAGCCUCAAUGUCAUACUUCAACACGCGAAAACAUUCCAGCCUUUCCUCUAAAAAUAAUGCAUAACUGCGGACCCAUGCAGAAUAAUCCCAUGCUGAGCAACAAAACACGAAUGAAAAUACAACGUCAAUACAGAUGAUAAUUAAAUUUAUAACAAGAUCAAUGAUGGGGAUCAAGACAAGCACCAUUUGGACUCGAGUCAUCUUUAAAAUGAGCCAUGUUGAGCAUAUGACUUCUACUUCUCCCAUAAUUAAUGAGUUCUUCAUGAAAUGUGGGAUCAACCUCCCUCAGAGCACGGUGGAUGACAAUCAAAGUUUUCAAAGCAACCUAUAGAUAAAACCACUUGUCAAUAAACCAAAUAGAACGGCACAAACACAUUCACAAGCACAUGCUCAGUGGUGAAUUACAUGAGCACUACAGAAAUCGCAGAGGUAACUGAAAAAUUAGAAGAUAACGGCAGAAGUUGCGAUAUAAACAUUGCAGUACAUAUGCUCCUUGGUAUUUAAACAAGGUUAAACAUGCAAAACAAUAGCAUGGUGAUAAAUAAACGGAUAAAAGGAAGUCAUAAAAACAUGCAUCAGCAGAUUUUUGUUUAAAAUGUUAUCUAGAUAUUCAUUUAUGCCCCACUUUUAUUUGACUUUAAGGUAACACUGACGAUCAAGCCACGGUCUUCAUUGGGGAGGACAUUGGCAUAACUCAUGAUAAUGACAUAAAAAAUAUAAUGUUUCAUCAAACUUGGCAAGAAAGAAUAUAGGCAAACAUAAAUACUUGAUAAAAACUAGAUCACACAUUCCCAGUCAUUUAGUGAAUACAUUGGACGGUUUUUAUUCCAUAUAAAAAAGGAUAAGAUGUAAAUCACAGUGCACGUACAGCCCAGUUAUGUGUCUUCGAUAAUCGCCUGGCGAGAGCAUGGAUGCAAUAGGCAACGUCAGCCCUAGGUCUUGUAGCUGAGAUCGCUGAAAAUAUAGCUGCAAAAGAGAACACAUAAAUACUUGGAGUUAGAACCCUAACGUAUCCAACAAUUCCCUCGUAUACAAUCUAUAAAUAUGCAACAAAUAGUAUAAACAUAAAUUAAAUUAAAUAAUAUACAGAUCACAACAAUUACUUCAUGUACAAACAAUCAUAAUAAACGCGAUGUCCUUGGUUCAGAACAUUUGACAAACAAAUCGAUGACGUAGGGCGCGAAUCAGCGCAUAACUCCAAAGAAGGAAUCAAACAUUUGGAUAUUCAUCCAAAAAACACAAUCAUAAAGAGACGGAAAUAACACAAACCUCGAAUGUGUUUUUCCUUAGCCGGGCGUUCAACAUGAUUCGUUGCUCGAACGAUAGCAAUGUCCAACUCCUACAAAACGGUAAACCAAGUUGAUAAGAACAAACACAAAAAUACAUGAUCCAAUUCAACCAACAAAAUUUAUCUGCAAAUGAUUGAAUUCUACCUUGUAACCACUGUUGACCUUGGCCAAUGAGACGGUAGUGGUGUCCUUAAGAGCUCCAAGUGCUUUCCUCAAACUGUUCUGCGUUCCACCUGACAUAUUCUUCCUUUCACAAUUCCAAAAUCCUGAAAAACAUCAUCAAAAAAUUAAAAAAAAUAAUAAUAAUAAUUAGUCAUUGACAAAUAGAAGAAUUUGAUAAAUCUUAAAAUUGAAGUUGAUAAUAAGGUUUAGUUAAUCAGUGUUAUCAGAUCCAACUAAAAAAAACAAUAAUCACCGACAAUAAAAUAAAAUAAUGAGCAACAAGGUAUGAAUAAAAUCAUCAAGAAACAUAGUUGAAUAAUAAUAAUAAGUGAACAAAAUUAUUUUAUCUUAAAGCAAGAAGAACUAAGACAUAAACAAGAAGAACAAGAAAAAUAGAGGUAUAUGAUUUUGAUUGAAAAAGAAGAGAAAGUAACGCAUUGUUGAGAAGAAAAAGUGAGCUCACAGAAAUUUGUUGAAGCAAGAAGAAAAGGAGUGGAUUGUUGAGAAAAUCAAAAUCACGAUCUAUAAGGGUGGAGCUAGAUUUUUGUAUUAUAAGCUAUAAAAGCUGAAAAUGUUUAUAGAAGAGAGAGAGAGAGAGAGAAUCGCGUUUGUUUUUGUGUCUGCGACGAGAGAGAGAGAGAGAAAUAAAAGUCUCAACUCGACAGACAAUAUGAGCUGCUUGCUUCGUUUGGUUGGUCGUCGGCGUCUAUGACGUUAUUUUUUACUUUUUUUUUUGAGUCAAGAUUAAAUUCUAUCGCUCUACUUUUCUCUCACCUCAAUUUUUUUUUCUAGCAAUUUGGUGACUAGAAUUCACACAAUUAAAUAUGGAGAAUUGGGGUGUUCGGGUUCGAAUUCCGACCCCUAUAUAAAUUAUGCAAUGUCCCUACCAACUGAACUAAGCUCACGGGAACUCACCUCAAUUUAAUUUUGAUCAAAAUCAAAAGUAAACUAAAGUUGUUUUUUUUAACAUUUUUAGACAAAAUAAAUUAAUCCAUAAUUGUUCUUAGGGUGUUCAUCAGUUUACUUUGAUCGGUAGAAACAUUGUACUAUCAGGUCUUUUAUAAGAAAUAAAUUGGUCAACUAAAAUUGAUGUAUUUGAUUUAUAAUGUAGAUCAAAUACAUUAGUUUUUGUUGACUCAUUUAUUUCUUAUAAAAAAUAUUGUAUGGAGUAUUUUAUAUAUAGAGAUUAAAGUUCGAAUUUAAAACGUUUCGUUUAUUUAUUUUAGGAGGUCAAUUUUUGUCAUUAAGCUAUUUGACAAAAAAAUAUCUUUAAUUUUUAUUUAUAUUUAUAUUUUAUUAUAGUAGAUAGACUAAUUUAUCAUGAUAUAAGAAAUGAGGGAGACUAAUUUUGGAUUUUUGUUAAACUAAAUUAUAUUGUGAGAAGGUUGCAAAGAAUUAAGUUGGGCUUCACCAUUGAUAAGAAAAUUUGAAGAUGUUUAAUUUAUGCGUAAGUUUUUUAAUGGAAAUUAUAUAUGCGACGGUGAAAACUUGGUCUUGAACUUUGACAAUUGGAAAAAAGAAAAGAAACGCUGUACUGUAAUUAAAAAACGGAAUUGUACAAUUUGAUGGGUUAAUUAGCGUGUCAGAAAAUACGGUAUUGUAAGAAGUUGUACUACUGCUCCCUCCGCUCCUUCCGUGGUUAAAUUGGGAUUUGAUUUUGUCUCUAUCUUCCCCCUUCUUGUUCUUGGAAUUCUCAGAUGGCCCCACUUUUUUUCAUUUUAUUUUUACUUUCAAAACAUUUUUUAAUUAUCAUUGUAUGGUUGGUUGCUAACAUAAAUUUUAGAGAAAUAAUAUUUGUAUGGUUUUGGAAUAACUUUCUCUUUUAUUAUAUUCACAUUAUGUUAUUGUUCUUUUCUUCUUCUUUUUUUCUUCAAUUUUUUGUCACAAAUAAUUAUACAAAUAUCAAUACUCUAAAUUUAUGAUACAAUGAAUUGUUCACAAUAAUAUCUUUAAAAUAUUUUAUAUUUGGAAAUAUAUUUUAAGAUUUAAAACAACAUAUCAUAGGUCUAACAAAAAUUAUUAGUUUUAUAAACACAGUCCAGUUGAUAAUAGCAAGGAUAAUAUUAUGUAGAUGUCAGAGUUCAAACUUUAGACAAUUUCACAUUGUAUUGUCUUGAAAUGGUUGACUACUCGGAUUAUGACUUUGUUGGAUGUGUAGACUCGAGCAAUUCCACAAAAUGAUGAAAACGUUGGAUAUAUAAGUUAGGAGACUCAUAUACUUAAUGCCUACAGAUUUUGGAUGGAAAUAAAAAAAAAAUUAUUUUUUUGUGUUUAAUAGAAAGAUUGAUAACCCUCUUGUUCAAAACCUUUAAGUUUUUCCACAAUGUUACGUUACAUUAAUAUUAUAUUAAUUAUUAAAAAAAUUAAAUGCAGGUAAAAGAUAUUGAUGUUGAGAGUUGCAGUGAGUAUUUUUGUUUCAUAAGCUCUAAUCAACCUUUUUUGAAUAAAUGUUAUAAAUAAAUAAUACAUGUAUAGAGUCUGUAUACAUAUGCACGAAGAAAUCUUCAAAAAUUAGUGGGGGCACAAGCCCAGAAAUUGCCAAACGUGGCUCCGCCACUGAGGAUCAGGCUAAUGAUGUGGGUGACUCACAGUUGAGGGGGAGAUUGUUGGGAAAUCAAGUGUGAGUGAUUAUGUCCCCCAUAUACCUGAUGCCUUAAGGUUUUUGGUGGAAAUGUGGUUUCUAAAUCUCUUAUUGGUCCUGAACGUUUAACUCAUUGCCGCUCCCAAUGCUCCUCAUACUCCCCAACAACUGAUAUUAGAGCCCUAGUUAGGCUCAGUGGUGGAGCGGGAGUAGGAUCCUAGUGAGGAUCAUGCUAGUACUAGUGAUAUGGGUGACUCACACUUGAGGGGAAGAUUGUUGGAAAAUUAAGUGUGAGUGAUUAUGUCCCACAUCGAUUAUAAAUGGAGGAAACAUUGAAUAUAUAUGAGAGGAGACCCAUAUACCUGAUGCCUUAAGGUUUUGGGUGGAGAUGUGGUGUCUAAGUCUCUUAUUGGUCCUGGACGUUUAACUCAUUGUCGCUCCCGAUGCUCCUCAGACACCCCAACAACUGGUAUCAGAGCCCUGGUUAGGCUCAGUGGGGGAGCGGGAGUGGGAUCCUAGUGAGGAUCAGGCUAGUGAUGUGGGUGACUCACACUUGAGGGGGAGAUUGUUGGGAAAUCAAGUGUGAGUGAUUAUGUCCCUCGUAUACCUGAUGCCUUAAGGUUUUUGGUGGAAAUGUGGUUUCUAAGUCUCUUAUUGGUCCUGAAGUUUAACUCAUUGCCGCUUCCGAUGCUCAUCAGACUCCCCAACAACUGAUAUCAGAGCCCUAGUUAGGCUCAGUGGGGGAGCGGGAGUGGGAUCCUAGUGAGGAUCAGGCUAGUGAUGUGGGUGACUAACACACUUGAGGGGGAGAUUGUUGGGAAAUAAAGUGUGAGUGAUUAUGUCCCGCAUCGAUUAGAAAUGGAGGAAACGUUUGAUAUAUGGACGUUUAAGGUUUUGGGUGGAGAUAUGGUGUCUAAAUCUCUUAUUGGUUCUGGACGUUUAACACAUUGCCGAUCCCGAUGCUCCUCAAACUCCCCAACAACCACUUCUACUAUGAAGGAAAAAUCUAUGGGGUGCCUUGAAGCCACAAAUUCAAUAACUGGUUGCGAAACUUAACAUUGACUUUUGGUAUUGUUGACAAUAUAACUACGUCACGAAGGAUUUAUCGUGACAAUUUCACGAUUAUCUUCUUCUCUAAGAAUGAUAAGUGCCAAAAGGGUGUAAAACACGUCGAUUUAAAGUAAUUGCCAAUCAAAGAAGAAAUGCAUAAACAAAAAGACUCAUUUGCGCAUAUUAGUACAAUAAAUGAUUGCGGAUUCGUUAACUAACAGAUUUCUACUAGGAGUGGGAGUAGGCCAAGCCGCUCGUCAAGGGCCUAUGAUUCGGCCUACUAAAAGUCCGGCUCGGCCUAGCUCGUUUAAUAAAUGGGUCAAGCUUGAGAUUUUUAAAAAGUCUAUUAAUUUAAUUAGGUCAGGCUUAGGCUUAUAAAAAAAGCCUAUCAGGCCGGCCCGUAUACAAGUAUAUUACAUUUUUUCAUAUUUAUUAUUUAUAUUUAUAUAUAUCAAAAAAAUUACUGAUCCUUCAAAUUCUCAUACCACAAUUAUUAUUAUUUCAGUUUUUAUUUUUAUUUUGUAUGGCUUGCUACUUAUAUAUUUAUAUAUAUUUGUGUGAACUGUUAAAGCUUGCUACUGAUAUGCCUAAGGUCAAGUAUGAUUAUUAGAUUAAGUUUGAAAUCCUUGUUGUUAUCAGACAUGAUUAUUCUUGAGUUUUUAUCCAUCUAUAAAUUUUACAAUUGUGUUUCAUUAGUUUAAUUUGUAUCUAAUUAAUGUUUAUCUCUAUAUUAAGUAUACGUUGCAUAAAUUGAAAGGAAAAAAACUGAUGAACCGAUUCUGUUUGAAAUUUGUAACAUAAACUAGGCUUUUAGACAGACUAAUAGGUCAGACCAGACUUUUAAAAAGGCCAGGCCAGACUUAAAAUAAAACAUUUGACAGGUAAAAGGUCAAGACUUAUUAUGCCUUGGUUUUUUCUACUAGGCCUAGUCUAUUUAAGCAAACCCGGCUCGAUCCGACUCACCCCUAAUUUCCACCUAAGAGAUUUUUUUUUGCUUUCGCACCGGUUUCCGACCCACCAAAGGUGGGCGACUAACCCGGCUCGUGCGUAGAGACAUGUGCACUGGCCAAACGUUAUUCCCCUGAGAAUCAAAUUCAAUAUUCUCCGGAUACGUCUUUAGAAGGAGUUCCUUGUCCCUGGAGCUCCUAAGUGAUUUAUUGACUACAUUUAAAGGACGAGCUUUAUGGAUGAGUCAUUUUCUUUAUAAAAAAUAAUGGAUGAAUUAUUGUUAACAAUACAAUGUGAUCUAUGCAUGUAUAUGCUAUGUUUUUGCUUAUUGUCUUGUUAUCCAUGUUAUAUGAUAUGCAUUAUUAUUCUUUUGGUGUGAUAACAGGAAGUGUCUUCAUCAGAAAUGCAUGAAAUAUACAAAUUAUAGCAUCCCAUAAAGUUGUUUGAAUUGAGUUGAUUUGUGAUAUAUGGAAGCAUUUAAGUUGAUGGAUAACUUCUGACCGCGAUGAACCCAUCAUUUCAAUCAAAUUAAAGACGAUGACUUGAUAAUUUUGACUUAUGGUGCAACAGCAACAGUGUAUAAUUAUGGAUUAAUGUUGAUCUUUCAAGUUGUUACAUGUACUAAUUGGGAGAUUUUAGAUUAUUUUAAUAAUCUAUAAGUCUUUUUUUAAACAAAAGAUACCAAAUGUGAUGUUUGUUUGGUCUAAUGAAAAUUAAAGUCGAUGAGAGGUUUUAUUUUCAAAUUUAAAAUAAAUAUUACCUCCGUCCCUAAUUAUAAGAUCCUUUUGAUAAUUUUUUUUGUCCAUUUUUAUAAGACUUUUUUGCUAUUUCCAACUACAUUAAUUAUUUCUUUACAUACAUGCCCCUAUUAUUAUACACCUUUUUCUUCAAUCAACAAUAAAUAACAUGUUGAAAACAUAAACCAACUCUCUCUCUUAAAGGAUAAAAUUGUAAAAAUAAUAGUAAUUGCAAACAUAUUUAAUACUAAUAUCCACUAUCUUAAUUCCCGUUAUUUUUUCAAAAGGAUCCUAUAAUUAGGGACGGAGGUAGUAGUAUUCCUGAUCUCCCUUUUGAAGGGAUAGUUACAAACAAAUUUAAAAUGCUUAUCUAUACUACAUGUAAAGAGAAUACAUGAUUUUGGUGUCAUUCAAAAAUAUAAGAAUUUAUAUUAUAUUUGUUAUAUUAUUGAUGUCGUUGAAAAAUAUAAAUAUAGUUUGUUAUAAUACGAAAGUGCAAAAUGCACAUACCUAUAAUUUUAAUCAAAAUCAAAAUUUUCAUAAAAUUUACAAAUUAUAAUUUAUACACAUUAAAUAAAAAAUUGACAAACAAACACAAAAUAUGUUUGAAGUAUAAAGAGGCGUACAUUUUAACUUCUCAUAAAAACUAAUAUUCUUCCUUAAAAACAAAAAAAAAAUCUUAUCAUCAAGAGUAUAAAGAAAAGAAAAAUCAGAGAAACGAAAACAAUUUCAGAAAAAUACCAAGAUUGUACAGAGUGAAUUCAUGGUACAGAGUGAAUGUCACAAUAUCAAGAUCGUUAAACUAGUUUUGCCAACACUCAUAAAAAAAAUUCCCUAAGUUUUAUCCUCACUUAUUCUAUGUUUUAAGAAUGGUCAUUGCUGUUUAUAAACCAACACAGGUCCAAGCCAGUAUCUAUAACACAAACUUUUUAAAUGAAAUAAUGUUCAUGUGACAUUGACUAAUUUUCAUUAAAUAUUAAAAUACAUUAAAAUCGUGACUUGACUUCAUGUUAUUUUUAAAUAAUCACGUUGUAGUACAAAUUUUCUUGUUUCCACUUUCCAAGCAGGAAAAAACAACAUAACCAUUUUUUUUUUUGACAAAAGAUAUAAACCAUUUCUAGAAUUGUAAAAUAAGUAAAGCACCAAAUAUAUAUAUAAGAAUUUUCUUUUUUAUAAAAUCUAAAUUUAGAAGAGAAGUAAUUUGCAGGAAAAAAAUUAAUCUACGCAUUAACUUUAUUGAGAUUAUUUUAUGUAGUAAUCCAAAUUGAUCUGAAAAUUAACAAGGACAAGAUAAUAUAUAUCCAACAAGUGGUAGUAUUUAUUUUGUGUCAAGUGUGGUGACCUUCCAUUAAUCAUAUAUCAGAGAGGGAUAGUACUGAAAGGGAUAGUUUGAGAAAAAGGUUGGGCAAUUUUAGCCUUUAGGGUGGGUAUAGUUUCCUCAAUCAGUAAGUACCUUUGGGAUUACUCAAUCGAGACAAAAUAUCUUGUCCUUUUUAGAUUAAAAUUGCAAAUGAAAGAUAAACUCACAAUAGCGCCAGUUUUGCUAGCAUGAGUAUUGAUUAAAUCUAAAGAAUGCAUUAGUUUAAUCAAUUAUAUCCCUUAAUUUAUUGAUUACAGUAGAAAUGACGUUAAAAAUUGACGGAUGUUGAGUCUAACAGAAAGAUGAAGAAGUUAAAACUUGCAAUUUUACAAACCAAAUUUCAAAUUUAAACCGUAGAAAAUUCAUUAAUUUAACAUUAAUGUCAACGUUGCGAGAACAUAUAGAAAAACCAUAAAAGAAAAAAAAAAAGUCUUGGCAACUUCUUUUUUUGGGCCCUUUUAACGCACCCAGACAAUGAUUGCCAUCAUGCAUGCACUAACAUUUUCAUACAAAGAACAAUAAUAAAUUGGACCAGGUUUGUUUGUUGUGGUCUUUCAAUUCCAAAUAUGUACGGGUGCAUGCACAAAGAUUUAUAUCUCCCACUUUUUUAGCGGGACAGUAUCAGAUUAAUUAAGUAAUGUAAUAAUUAGUUAGGAUUCACCCACCCUAUAAGCUUGCUAAGUAAUCACAACAACAAAAUUAACAGACUUAGAGGUGUAUUCAAUUGAGAUUUCAAAAGAUUUUAAAAGACUUUUUUGUUUUAAAAAAAUCUUUAGGUAUUCAAUCAAGACUUUUAAGGAAUCUAAAACAUUUUUGUGGUAUUCAAUUAGGAUUUUCAAGAUUUUUUAAUGAGUCCAAUAAAAUUCAGUGGUAUUCAAUUGAGAUUUUGCUCAACUUAAAAAUUGUCUAUUGGUAUUCAAAAUUGUAAGGAUUUUAAUGGAUUGUUGUGAGUAAUAGAUUUUGCGAGACUUUUUAGUGUAAAAUGUACCUACUAACAAUCUCACACCUAAACUUGAGACUUUUUUGUCUCCCACACAUAGCCUUGAUGAGAUUUCUUGAGACUUUUUACUCCUUCUCCCACUUCAGUUUUUUGUUUCUCUCAGUAUUAUUAUUUCAUGUUUGUUUUCUUUUUCAAGGUUUUAAUUUUUUUUUAUUCUCGUCAUUUUUAUUUUCUUCACGAAUUGGUUGUUGUUGAUCACAUUAUUUACUUCAUGUUUUGUAGGUAACUGAGAUAUGUUUUUUUUCAAGAACAUAUCUCAGUUAGGAAUAUGUUCUUGUUGGGGGUGGAUGUGGGCGGGGAGGCAUUGAGGUGGCGUGGGCGGCUGUGGGCUUGGGAGGAGGAGUUGGUAGAGGAGUGUAGGGCUUUGUUACUAACAGUUUCUUUGCAGGAAUCGGUGAUAGACAGAUGGCUUUGGUUACCUAAUCAUGAUGAUGGGUAUUCUGUUCGUGGAGUCUACGACAUGCUGACAUCACAAGAGCAGCCCAAGUUACACCAUAAUCUGGACUUAAUUUGACAUAAACAGGUUCCUCUCAAAGUAUCUAUCCUUGCUUGGCGACUUUUGAGAGAUCGGUUACCUACAAAACAUAAUUUGGCAAACCGUGGCAUUUUAUCUGUGGAGGAGCGGUUAUGUGUUUCUGGAUGUGGGAAUGUCGAAGAUGUUUCUCGUUUGUUUUUGUCUUGUGCAACUUUUAGUGCAUUAUGGCCGAUGGUGCGGGAUUGGUUAGGAGUGGUAGGGGUCGACUCUCAAUCAACUUCAGAUCAUUUGGUGCAAUUUAUUAAUUAUGCAGGUUGUUCAAGAGGGUGACGGUCUUUCUUUCACUUGAUUUGGUUGCUUUGUGUUUCAGUGUUGUGGAAUGAAAGGAAUGAUAGGCUUUUUAGAAAUAGACUAAGUACUUUGCCACAAAUGCUAGACAAAGUGAAAUCAACUUCUUUGUGGUGGUUAAAGGCUAGCAAUGUUGUAUUUAGUUUUGGCACUCAUCAGUGGUGGUCGAGCCCGCUUUUAUGUCUGGGUAUUGACUGAUUUGUUUGUAAUUCUGUUUGGACUCUGACAUUUUUGUGAUUGUUUGGCACAUCUUGUGCGAUAACAGUUACGGUGUCCGUUUGAAUAUAUCUCAUUUUUGCAUGUUCAAAAAAAAAGUUUUUUUUUUUUCAAGGAGUAAGUUUGAUUUUAUUAAGUAAUUAUUAUUAUUAGUAGUCAAUCCCAUAAAAAUUGUAUCAAUUUUAUUUUUUAUCGUGCAAACCUUUGAUUUUUUAUUUUUUUUGGUCUAGCAAACCUUUGAUUUUUUAUUUAGUCAACUCUUGUAAAUUCUCAUAAAAUACUUUCAAAUCUUUAAAAGUCUAUGAGCUAAAAUCCCUCAAAAUCUUAAAAGUCUUUUAAAAUCCUUUGAAAGUUAAUACAUUCAUCCACAAUCUUUCAAAAUCUUCAAGACUUUUUUUAUCAAAAUAGUCUUUUAAAAUCUCAAUCCAAUACACCCCCCUAAGAGUAUGUUUGUGAACUAGAUUUUAUAGAUUCAGACAUAUUUUUAAUACUUCAAUUACACUUAACUGUAUUGAUAUAAAAAAAAUAAGAUUUUAUACUAAUUGUAAUUUAAAAGAUAAAAGUAAGUUCACUCACUCUUCUCGUUACCUUCCAACACUUUUCAUCUCAACAUACUUUUAGAGGAUGUUUGUUUCAAGUUGAAAAAUGACAUUCAUAAGAAUACAUGGCUAGGAAAUGAUUAUACCUAUGCUAGUUAUAAAGUUGAGAAAAAAAUAUUUCUGGUUCCUGAGAAUGAAAUAACUUCCAUUAUUCUCAUGCGAGAAGGUGGAAAUGUGCAUCCCAUAAAAUCCUACAUAGAUUUUUUUUUUUUUUUUUUUUUUUUUUUUUUUAUAAAAAAAAAUUGUAACUUCCAAUUUUUCCUGGUAAUAUGUCAACUUAUUUGCUAAACACUUUUAAAAAAAUACACGGGAAUCAAAUUUUCAUUUUUUUAUGCCCGAGUAAGUCAUUUCUGGGUAUAAUUUGUGUGUCACCGAAACAAACGCUCCUUUAGGUUUUGAUUACGAGUUUGGACGAAAAUGAUAGUGUUUUGAAAGAAAAGAAAAAGAAAGUGGAAGAAAUAGAUGACUUUGAAAUGAGAGGGUUUGUUGGAUUUUUUUCAUACUACAAAAUUCUUUUAGUUUGAGGGAACUCAAAAGAUAAAAGUUGUAUUCGAUGAGGGUUUUAUGAACUAUAUGUAAAUUUUUCAAAUUCAAUAUAUAUUGUUAUAAUAUUUCUAUAAUUAAAAAUAUACUUUUUUGGCCGUAAAAUUAAAUCAAAGUAUAUUAAUUAUAAACAUUAAUCUAUAAUUCUCUAAAAAAUACUCUUUGAAAAAAAAAAAAAGAUUUUACAAUUUUUUCUUAUAUCUCUCAUCCCAAACCCUAUCAUUCUCUCCCUUCUCAAACUCCCUAACAAAUUAAGCCUUAGGCACACAUCUUCACUAUUUCACUUAUAUAUAUGAGUUAGGAUCCGUUGACACCAGGUGUUAACGAAUUCGUUGACACCAAAUCGCAACCGUUUAUUUUAUUUAAUCAAUGGCUUGUAGUUUACUAUUCUGUGUGUAUUAUUUCCCUCAAUCGCACAACAUUAUUAUUUUCCUAUUGAUCUGUGCUAUGCUAACGUAACAAAACCUGAAGUUAUCUCUUCUCCUUUACGGAUCUCAAUUAGACCCCAUCAUAGAUAACUCUUGAGAUUUGUAUAUGCACCAAAGAUUGGCAGCAAUGGCAGAAAUCCAUGUAUUUUGCAAGGAUGUUCAAUUAUUCAUUAAUGGUUAAACACCAUACCAAUUGAUACCUAAAACCCCUUAAUUAAUAUCUUCAUCUCCAAUUGCAAUUCAUACAUCGAAUUAACCAAGAGGGAAGAUAGAUGCAAACAAGAAAUUGUAUUAACGGAAGUGGUGGCAUAUAACAACGAUGUGAUGAUGUUCCCAAUUUCAGAUUUUCAAUGAUCGAAAACAAUAAUACUAUGUGAUUGAGGGAAUGAGUACACACAGAAUAGAAAAAUAUGAGCUAUGGAUUAAAUAAAAUAAACGGUUGAGAUUUGGUGUCAACGAAUCCGUUGACACCUGGUGUCAACGGAUCCUAACUCUAUAUAUAUAUAUAUAUAUAUAUAUAUAUAUAUAUAUAUGCUAUCCUGCAAACAAGUACCACAAUCGACAUUCAUCAUGAUGAAUAACACAUUUUGGGUGAAAUUUAAUCAUCUUGUAGUAUUAUUUUAUUUUAAUUAUUAUAUUUUUAAAUUCAAAUUUGAAUUAUGAUUUAUUUAAAUUUUAUUUGUCAAGAUUGAUAUAAGAAUUUAAUUAGAUAAAUGAGUUAAAAAAGUGAAUUAUAGAAGAAAAAUAUUGUUUGUGUUACAGGUCAGCAGAGUCGGUGGAAUAUAUGUGCAGCUAUUAUGUGUUGGAUGCAAGCAGGCAACAAUUGGCCAUGUGAACAACAUAAAGAUAAUGAAAUUAAACCUUGUUUGUGCUUUGUAAACAAAUCAAAUUUAUAUUUUGCACGUGUUAAAUGUUUGAAGCCACCAAUUAUAGACACACAUGCUACAAAACAUGUCAUAUUGAAUAAAGUCUAAUAUGGGGAGCAACUCUUGCAUAACUCAAUCCCCAUGUAAAUUUUAUUUGAGCUCACACAUGAUAAUAAAAUUUAAAAGAGAAAAUAUAUCAAAUAAUAUGAUUAAAUUAUUUUUCUUCUAAGCAAUAAUGAAUUGGUCCAAAUGAUAAGAGAGUUAACGUCUUAAAUAUGUGAUCAAGGUUCAAUUCAUAACCAAUGUCUAUGAUUUUUUUUUAUUUUUUUACCAAUAUCAAGGCUAUCCAUUUUCUUUUUUAAAUUUUAUUAUAUAUAUGUGUCCAAAUAAAGUUUAUUUAUGAUUGAGCAUGCAAGAGCUGCUCCUGAUAUCGAUUAGUCAAACUUUCAUCUUUAUGAACACUAUUUUGACACUACCCAUACUAAAUACUAAAACUAAAGUACUAUUUGUACAAACUUAUUAAAUUUUUAUUAUAACUUUAAUAAUUAAAUUAAUAAAAACGUCAUUAUAUUUAACAAUAUGCAGACAACUUGGAUUUGUAGUUAAUUUGAUAUGAUGUGAGCACAUUUGAUUCUGUUAAAUUCAUCCAACAACUUAGAGAUCAUUAUAUAGUGAGUGACUUCUAUUGGACAUUGACCCAAAAAUUGUAUCAAACUAGACAUAUUUGUAGUCCACAAACCAUAUCACAUGUAUAGUCGUCAGCAUGCUUAUAUUUAAAAAAUUAGAGAAUAAUGUGAGACCAAGAGCUGGAAUAAAGUAUACAAUAAUUUAGAGAGAGAGAGAUCCCUCAACAAAAAAAUAAUAAUUUAGAGAGAGAAAAUUAAAUACAAUUUAGAGCGGAGAUAAAAUAAUUUAUUAUUCAAUUGCAUGUCUUUUGAUACUUUUAUCCAUUAACAGGCAUCCCAGUAAAACAAAUUGUUUUGAACAUUGAGUUUAAAGACAAAAGGUGCAGCAUACAUAUUAUCUAGAACUUAUUCAUAAAAAAUUACUUAGUAACUUUUUUUGGUGGUGCUUUUUUUUUUGGUGGUGACUUAGUAACUUACAUUAAAAGAUUAAUUUACAUGCACUAAUAAUGUAAAAGAAAAAUGCGUAGCAAAUACAGAUUUGAAUUCCAGCUUACAGGGUAUCCAUCUUUAGUGGCUUAGACGUCUAAAAUAUAUAUUUUUUGUCAAGUAAAUUUAUCAACUCUACUGGAGAGAAACAUAUGGGAAUAAAAAAGUCUUCGAAAAUUUCUUGAAAAAAACGUCACCGAAAAAAAAAUGCAAGAAUAUAGACGCGAUCUAAUAAGAUAUUAUUGUUUAGAUCAGUUGUAAUAUUAUUAUUAAGGUUUAAAUGUGUCAUUGGUCCCUGCACUUUCAUUAGAUUAUGGCAUUGGUCCCUGCACUUUUUUUUGUUUGGCAUUGGUCCCUGCACUUUGUAAAAAUAUUGGUAUUGGUCCCUCUGCUAACUUUCUGUUAAAAAAAAACACAAAACUAAUGGAGUGCCACGUGGCCCAAUCAUUUCACGCCAUGUGGCACCAAUAUCAAUAUUUUUACAAAGUGCAGGGACUAAUACCAAUAUUUUUACAAAGUGCAGGGACCAAUACCAAUAGUUUUGUGUUUUUUUUUAACAGAAGGUUAACAGAGGGAUCAAUACCAAUAUUUUUACAAAGUGUAGGGACCAAUUCCAAACAAAAAAAAGUGUAGGGACCAAUGCCAAAAUCUGAUGAAAGUGCAGGGACUAAAGACAUAUUUAAACCUAUUAUUAAUAAAUAAUUUUUUUAGGGAAUAUUAGUUUUAAUAUAUAUCUACACAAAUACCUAAAGAAUAAUUUAAUUUGUAAGUAAAACUUGUUUAUACAUGCAUCCGAUCAAAUAACUCCAUAAUGCUACUUUUUUGAAUUAGCUCAUAAAAUAUUUUUAUAAAAAUCUAUUUGUCACAAUUUGAUAGGAUGUAUGUGUAAAAAAAAAUGACACUUUAUAAAUUAACCUCAUCCAAAUUGUAAGAUAUGAUAAUUAGAUGCAUCAGUAAAAUUAUUUAAGAGAAAGUCUCAGUGUAUGAAGUUGAGGCUUUUCUUGUUGCACUGACAAAAUGGUUGUCACAAUUGUUGUCAUUUAAUGAAGGAGAAAUCAUAAGUUUAUUAUUAAGAUUUCUUUAAUAUCCUCGUAAGAAGUACUUUUAUGGUUACAAAAACAUAAAUAAAAAUCAUUUAAGGGCGUACAACAUAAAAAUACAUUUAAGUUAAUUAUCUCAGAAAUACACAUGAAUCAUAUUUGUGGUUGUGACCACACAAGUGUUUUUAUGUACUCAACUAGCACAAGAGUUAAGAUAAUAUUUUGAAUAAGGGAGACAUGAAGAACUUAUCAUAGUUUACUUGUUCGUUAAACAUGUUUUGUGGUCAACAAACAAGUUUUGUGGCAUGAUUAACUUAAACACUUUGAUAGUUUAUCUUAUUUAUGUUGAAGAGGAUCCAAGUCUGUCUUAUCUUGACCAUAAAAGAAAUUGGAAUAGUACACCUUAAACUGGAAUUUGAUUGUUCAAUUGUGGUGUCUGGUUGACUAUAAUAUUGAGGAAUGGAGCGUUGACUAAAAAGAAGCCAAUCAAAGUUCCACAAAAGGUAAACUGUGGAAGAAAGAAUUAGGGUUGGGAAUAGGCCAGGCCAGACUUUGAUAGGCCUGAGCCUGGCCUACGAAAAAAUUUGCAGGCCUGAGCCUGGCCUAUGGCCUUUCAUAGGCCUAUUAUUUUGGCCUGGCCUGGCCUAUUUAAAAGCCUGGCCUGGCCUGAAAGCCUAUUUACAGGCCUACUUACUAUUAAAGUCACUAAACAUUCCAUUUUAUCUACUUUUAAAUAGGCUUAAUAGGCUUCAAAGCCUAUUCCAGUGUAAGAUUUGUCUAUCACUAUAAGGCCUUAAAAACAUAUUUCACUAUAAAGCUUUAAAGCCUAUUUAAAAAGUCCACUAUGAAGCCUAACAUGCAUAAACAGGCCGGCCUAUUAGGAUUCAUAGGCUUUUUUUAUAGCCUAAGCCUGGCCUAUUUACUUAAAUAGGCUUUUUAAAAAGCCUAAGCCUAGCCUUUUUAAUAAACAGGCCAGGCCAGACCAGGCUUAAACAGGCCAGGCCAUAGACCCCUGUAGGCCGGCCUGGCCUAUUCCCAACCCUAGAAAGAAUGCUUGGUUGACUCUGACCAUGCUCUGAGGUGGGACCCACGCAAUUGUGAGAGUCUUUCCAUGAGUAAAUUCAUGAUUUCAGCUCCCAUUUGUGCUUUGACGACAUAGAUUUCUUACGAUUAUAUAUAAAAGAUCAUAAAAAUGUUUUUCAAAAAGAAAAAAAAAAAAUCCUUUUUUAUUAAUAAUAUUAAACAUUUUGAAAAGUAAAAACUGUUGGUUAUGAAGUGUUAUAUUUGCACCAAAAAAUUUGUCACGUUAAUUUAUUUCCAAGUUUAUUCUCUAUUAAUACAAAUUACACUACUCCAAAGUUAUUUAUUAUUUUCCACUUAUAUAUUUUACAAUUAUUAUAAGUUAGUAAAGUCAGGACUAAGGUAGUAGUUGUUAGUUUAAACUUUAAGUAGGGGGAGAGAAAAAAUGUUAGCAGCAGAGGUCAAAACCACGAACUUCCUUCUUCUUAAACUCUUUUUAUCUAUUCCGCAAGCCGGAUACACAUUAGGGGAUGCUUCUUACCUUGAUAUUUUCCAUACUCUAACUGAAAUUCUUUUGAAAUCUCUCAACCUGAAACAAACUAUAACAAGUUGCCCGACACUCCGUGCUCGGGCACUUAAAAAAAAUGUUUCUUGCUUCCCAGGGGCAGCCAAUGAAGGAAAAUUGCUAUAAUUAUUUUUCCUAAAAAAAAUUACAGUUUCAAUCUAAUAUUAAUGAACAACAAUUUGUUCGAAAAAAAAUACUAGUGUUACAACUGCAAAUGCCAAAUAAGCAUUCACUCCUACCACCCUAUAAUUGUUUCAAAAUUGGUUGAGUCUGUCAUCAAGAUCUCUUCACAAUAGCAGUAGCAAAGAAAGGAUGAUGACAUAGUGUAAAAGAAAUCUUCACCGAUGGAUCAGGUGUUCCUAGCCGGGAAAUGACUGUCAUGGCAAUGUUGUUGCGUUCUGCUACUUGUUCUAUUCUCCUCAGCUCAGCCAUCAUGUCAGGGUCAUUGGCGAAACUACCUUUCAGCUCUUUUGCAAUCUUCUGAGCUUCCUUGAAGUAAUCGCACAUAACUAGGGUCUGAAGGGGAAAUAAACAUUUAAAUGUUUGUCUCUUGAAAAAAUAACACACGACCGUCUAUUUUUAAAGAAGUCAAAACACACAAUAAUUUUCUAAAGAAUACUCACAGAGAAGUUAGCCUGGGCAGUUGAUUCCUUGUAUGUCUGAUAUGAGAUGCCAUCAGGAAGGCAAGCUUUCAAUAAAAGCUCAAAUUGCUGGAUAAAUAUCUGGAAGAAGUAUCAAUAUGUGAGUUCAUUUGCAAAUGAAAAGUUCGAUUUAAAAUAAAAGUACUUCUUUCAUAGUGCCUACUGUUGCUGAGGUUGAGGGUUAACCAUACUCAAUAUCUCUGUAUCUUUCAAAUGCUUGAAUCAUUAAAAAGUAUCCCGAUAACAUAGAAAAAUUACUAAAUGCAAUUUAGAUAAUUUACUGAAGGUUUCUCCUUAACUUCUGGCAAAUCUGUAUUAACAGAUCUUCAAUGUAUCUUAAAUUUUUCCCCUAUAAAUGUGACAAGAUUACGAGUGUAUUCAGGCAAAAGAUUAAAAAAUAAUUAUUCGCUACAUAAAUUGUUUCUACUCAUCCACACGAAGGUAAACAUGAAGUGCGUACCAUAAUUUAGUUUCAGAUAUUUGGGAUAUAUAUGAUGCUUUGCAGAUUUGAAAAUAAGAAAAAAAAAUUGAAAACUAAAUCAAAUGCUGAUAAUGGAAAGAAUCACCAUUUAACUUACUUUCGCGGAGUUUGAUCAAUACAUGAUAAAUUGAAAUCAGUAAAAAACACGCCCAAAACAAUCAAAUCUGAUAGAUUACUGGGUUUCAGUCAAGACGUCACUCUAAUUGAAACAGUGGCCAAUAGUGUGACCUUGCCCAUUCUUCUCUUAAUACUAAUAGUUCCUUUGGAUAUUAUUUCAGCACUUUGAGAAAAAAAUACUUUCCAAACACCAAAUCUUUCACUUGACCUACCAACACUAAAAAUCCAGCGCUGAAUAAAAUUUACCAAACACCCUUUGCAAUGCUUUAAUGAAGUUUGUAAUACAUUUGAAAACUGUAAGUGGAAAACCAGAAAACCUUACCUCGUGUUCGGUACUGAAAGGGCUUUGUGGUGGAACAAUUCUGUGCUCAUUCCUCAAAGCAGCUAGCAUCUAGAAAAAUAAUUGGAUUGCUGCAGAAUGUAAGUCCACUAAAUUGAAUCAAAUAACAAAGCUGGAAAAUUAUUUAGGGUAUGUUUGGAUGGAGGAUUUUGGAGCGGAAGGGAGGGGAGGGCUUACUUUUUCUCUUUUAAAUUACGGACACUAUGAAAUGCUUUCUAAAAUCAAUCAAGUGCGGUUGAAGUAUUAUAUGAUCAUUUAUCAUGUUGUUCUUCAAAAAUUUUAAAAAUAUAGAUUUAGCCCUCCAAAACCCUCUCCGAAACCGUCCCAAACAGACCCUUAGGUUAAAGUUAAUUAUGAUACACACAGUCAAUGUGGUCAUGUUAACUUUUAGUAAAAGAAAAAGACUUGUCAAUUUGGCAAAAUAGGGUAGUUUCCACCUAGUAUUAGAGUAUAGCAUAAGCUAAUCACACUUGGCACUUUUAUCUUGCAUUCUAAGUUCUAAGGCUUGCAGUGCAAGCUAUUGACGGCUAGAUACAGUUGGCGACAGCUGGCAGUUUGCUAUACCAGCUGUCAUGCUAGCACAGGGUUAUAAAUACUCGUAUCUCUCUCUAUUCAAUAAUAAUGUGAAUAUACAAAAUUCGGUUACAGUUUUCUUCUCUCUUCUCUCUCCUUCAAGCUUUCUCCAUUGUUCAACAAUGGCUGACCUCUAACAUUCUAACACCUAGGGACUAUUAAACUCAAGCUCUAGAACUUACAGAUGCGGCAGGAAAUUUCAAGCCACUGAUGUCUUAAAUCACAAUUCCUAGAAGAAAUUGUUAAGUCAAAUCAUUGAGGAAACAUAUGCAGUAUUACCAUGCCUAAACCUUCAGCUAGAUAUAUUUGGCUCUGAAGAAACCUCACAGCUGGAGAGAUCUGCAAGUUCGUUCCUGCGUCUUUUAAAGAAUCUCUUUUUUUCUUUGUCUUCUUUUUACCUUAUCAACAAGUAGCAUAGAUACAAAUUGAGGUCAGCGACACCAUAAGCUAAUUUUUGUCUUCAAAGCCAUAGAACUAAAAGCACAAUUAAAAUACUGCCUAAUAAUACCACUCUAUUAGUCAUUGAUUUGUAGGACAAUUUCCUCAUAUACCAUCACUUUUCUUAAUUAAAAAAAACCACGAUACACUACUGUAACACAUACCAGUGCCACUGCUCAUUGCCAUCCGGAGAUGCUUCUUCUCUGCAAGAUUGAUCAACACGAUAUAAAUAUACCAGUACACCAUGCAAUAAUCAUGGUCAGCAUAGAGUUCCAAUUCAAAUCCCACAGUGAGAAAUCGAAAAGCUAUCCAAUAAGUUUGCUCUUCCACCCACACAAGAAUAUGCUGGAAUAUUUUGAAGCCUAGAGUCUGCCAGAAUAGAGUAAUAUUACAUAUUAAUAAAUUAGUUCCAGUGAUAACAGCUAACAGAAAACCUUAUGCCACAAAAAACAUGUUUGCUUCAACACUCAAAAAAACUCACUUCAUGUGAAUACUGUGACUUAUGGUAAUGUAGGAAAAUAUUUAACAAUGAACGCUACUCCUCCGUCCCACAAAAAUUGUCAUAGGUCAUUUCACACAAAUUAAGGAGAAGUUAUAAAUGAAAAAGGAGAAUAACGAUUUUACAAAAUUAAUCUCAUUAACUACUGGUUCAUUCUCAUUAUAAUACGAUUUACUAAUUCUGAUCGUAAUAAUACUCCAUUUGCUUCUUUUAAUUGUCGAUUUUUUAAGUUAAAAAAUGUUCCAAUGUAUCUGACAUUUCAAAGUUUAAGGUUACAUUAACUACUUUUUUGUCAAUUACAUUCUAACCUUAUCAAUUAUUUUGCACUUACAUUUAUGAAAAGCAUUGAGAGAGAGUAAGUGGGUGAAUGAGCCAAUGAAAUGCAACUGUAUAUUUGAAAUUUUCUUAUUAAUCAAAGCUAUUACUUGAUUUGUACAAAACAACCUAAAAAAACAUGAUUAUUAAAUUGGAGAAAGUAGUGAAUAUUAAGCUUUGAUUAUUUGAUUCUAACAAACAUCGAUAUAACUUUAUUAUUCUGGGUAAAACAUUCCACCCUCUAUGUCUGAAGGACAAAAACCUAUAACUUCAACGCAUGUAUAUAAAUCAGAUUGAUUGUGUGUUAAGUGUUGACACACAAUUCCUUUAAACUCUUUACAUUUUAUCACUUCUCAAACUCAUGGGAUAACUAACUUAUAUAUAAGCACCAGUUUCAGCCAAACAAUAGGUAAAAAUCACAAGUAAAAAACCUCGUUGUUUGAAGUGUUUCCAAACUCCUUUUUGAAAUCUAGCUCCAGCUGCAGAGUAGAAUGAAGGAUUAGGUCAAUAUUGAUUCGUGUCAAAUGAAUUUCUGGGCAAUCAUAAAAUAUAUCAAUUCACAUCAACUAUAUAAAGCAAUCCUACACCAAAUGUUCGGACACAUUGACAAUUUGAUCUCUUUCACUAUACCAAGUUUUGAUUCUCUACCUUAACGUUUUCUACUUGUUUAGGGGAGGGGGUGUUUCCUACACUACAGUGAAAAACUAACACUACUGACUUGAGAAUCAAAAUGAGACAAAAUGCUUCAAUUGAAAUCCCCAAAUAGGAGACAAGUUUCUUCAGAAUAAGAUAAUGCCAAUAAAAAAAAUAAUAUCCCAAGUAUUAUACUUCAAACAUUUGUGCCAAAAAUAGAUAAGAAUUAAGAAGCAUCCAUCGAAAUCUUCUUAAAUCUAAUUCAUAUUCUUUACAGAUAAGGUGUUAAUUAGAAUAGAAUGUAAUAAUGUCUACAGUGAAUGACACACCUGUACAUAGGUGACACGCCAGUCUUGUAGCAUUUUCCCCAGCUUACGCCUUUGCCAUGCGGCAUUUGUACAAAUAAUUUUGAGUAAAUUCAUCACCAUCUGCAUCCAUAAUAUUGUACAGAUUAUAAAAAGUGUCUUACUAAAAUCGUGAGUUGCAAAGCCUUUUCUUAUGGAAUAGAAUUCAUAUUCAAAUAAUACUAUCCGUGAGUCAAAAUAUAGGUUGAUUAAUUAAAAAAAAGGGCCCAUUUGUUCCGUUUUCGUAUAAGAAAUCACUUUAAUUGUUUUGAAAAUAACAGUAUUGAGCGUUGUUUAAAUUUCUAAAAAGAAUAAUUUUUUUUUUAUUAUUUUGAUAAUCUACUUUGAGCAGCUUCUGAAAAAAUUGUAAUUAGAACUAGUUUAAAAUUAAAGUGUAUUUCAAUAAUGUAAUCAAACACAAAAUAGCUUUUGCUUUAUACAUGUCUCCAAAAAAUAAAGUACAUUUUUACACAAUCUUAAAAUCACUUUUUCAAAAGCUUAAACAAAAGGCAGUAAUUGAGCCAAUUUGAGUUUACUCAAAAAGAUGUUUUUUUGUUUGUUCGAGGGAUACUCAAAAAGAUGUUGUUCAUCACAAGAGCAUGCAUGUCGAUACAAGUUCAGGAACACAUGCAAAAGAGUGAAAGGCAUAUAUAUAUAGGCUUCAAAUAGGACAUACCAAACUACUUUAAUUUCAUUACCUGUUGAAGUUGCACCAUAAACUCGUUUUUCUGAAUGUCAUGAUUCUCUACGACUUCAGGCAAUCCAGCAGCUCUAGUAAUCAUAGAAAACAUAGGAUACCGACCAAAGAGUUUCCCGUUCUGGACCAGCAGAAGCUGAUAACAGGAUUUAAAUGGGUCAAGCUUGGCGAACAGAGUUCAAAACAACAGAAGUAAAUUUACUAUCAUGCAUGUCAAGCAUGCUUUUAAAGGCAACGAAAUAGCGAAGCAAUGGACGAAAACCAAUGAAAAAGUCAACACUCCAAUCAGAUGCAUGAAGAUGUAUUAUGUUGCUUUUUAUACCUUUAGCAUUCUGUUUUACAAGAAAUCUGGUGCUUAGCCAGGGAUGACGAUUUACAUCAUGAUUCUUGAUAGACAGACUGGGAAUUUCCCUUUUGUACCAUAAUACAAACACUUUAACGUUUUCUUGUGUAACUAUUUCUUGUGCUUAAUAACCAACACAAAUUUUUUUGUAACUAUUACUCGUGCUUAAUAACCAACACAUUAGGUCUAUAAAUACAAUCGUACAUUUGGGAAAGACUGAUCCUAUAACAUGUAAAUGAAGAAAAACUGUCAUAUUAUUUUCAAUACAUUAAAUGAGGUACAAGGAAAAAAAUCUAUAGUUCGUAAAGAAUACAUAUAUUUCUCUUCCUAGGGUUGUCUCAUAAGAGGCAGCCGUUAGUGAAACAAAAAUCUACUUGAAAAAUACUUGAUAAUUAAAUUGCUUGUCUAUAUAGAAGACGCAGAAAAAAAAGUUAAUAAGAUAAGAGAACAAUCGUCAGAUCAAGCAAAAUCAUCGAUCAUUUUGAGAUUCACCUGAAGAUGAGCUCUAGAAACCAAAUCAGGUUGAGAUUUCUGGAAUUUAACCACAAAGAGCAAGGCAGCUUCCAAUGAUGGGUUCAAUGAGCAGGAACAUAUAAUGUCUAGAUCAUGAAGGAGUUUCACAAAGUAUUCGAGAGCCUGGAAGAGAUAAAUAAACGUUGUAACAUGGAACAAAGUUUCAUGUAUUAAAAGUAACCCUCUAAAUAUUUACCUUUUCCAAACAAAAAAUUUUGAUUGCCCGUGGCGGUGUUGGAGCUGAUAAUCUACAAUUUAAACUAGCAUCAAAGCCAAUUGGUUUACAACCAGAUGCAGUUGUAUUUUCUAUAUUUUGUUCAGACAUUUCCGGAGCACUAGCUCUAAGAAAGUCUGAAGAUUUUCGAAUGUGACCAAUCUCUGAAAUGCAUGAAGCUAUGUGUUCCCUUGCCAACUCCAAACCUCCUCCAUGGGGUCGUUUCAUAGACAUCAAAAUAUGGUAAAAAUGCUGAAAGAAAAUCAAAUGUAGUGAUUUCAGUAAAAAAAAAGAGUGCUUAGUUGACAAGAGAAAGCUGAAAGUGAAAAUUGAUGAAAGUUAAAUUGUCAAAAGAUUAAAGCCAAAAUACAGUAACAUACUCAAUAAAAGUACUCUAACGGGAGGGGUUUUAAUGAAGGGUAAUGGAAGGAAGAGCAGGCGAGGGGAAAUAAUAUCAAAUCCUCUGUUUGGGUUAAAGUGCGGGGAAGCGGGGCAAUUUUUUUUACUAUAAUUGCCUAAAUGAAGGCAAAUCAAAAUAAAUCAUUGAAUUUGCUGAUGCAAAAAGAAAGAGGAGGAUCAAGUGGUGUCCUUGGCUGCAUCUAUGUAGAACGAGAAAUGAGAUGGACUUGCUUAAAAUCUGGUAUUGCACCAGUCUAGUCACAUUAAUUUCUUAUACCAGUGACUGUGUUUUCAAAAAAUAUUGUCCAAAUCUUUUACGUAGCAGAAAAACCAUAAAUGAAUGAACUGGAGUGAAGAAGCUUUGAGAAAAGUGGAAAGAAAAUGUGAAGGAACAUGUCAAAGUUUCUAGGAACAAACUAGUGAGGAUAGUUUAGCCCAAGCAAGUCAUAAAUAUUAAGCCCUUUUAUAAAAGGGAUCUUCGCGUCCUUAUUUUCACUCCUCCCCCCUUCUAUUUCCCUUCAACCAAACACUAACAGAAAAGCCGGCUAAGAUUAGGCUAUUUGUAAGAAACAACGGUAGUUUGAAGGUCAUGCAUUUAACCUUCAAAAUUGCCAUGGUGACACAAAAUUGUAAGAUAUAAUUUUUUUUUUUUUUGAAGAAGAUAUAAAAAUAUUUAAAACAUCUUGAUAUUAUCUUUGGAGUAUUUUAAACUAUAUUUUUUUGAACAAGUAUUUUAAACUAUAUUACUUUCUUGUCUUAGCAUAACCUAAACUAUCUCUUCAGUAUUUCUGUUAUUCUUCUUAAAAAAAAUAGUAUUUCUGUUAUUAUCAUCAUCAUCCAUUUUCCUCUUUAAUUAGGAUUUGAUUCUUGUAAUAAAUAAAGGUUAGCUUUUAGUAUGUGCCAAAUCAUAAAUCAUAUCAAAGCAUAAUUUAGAAGCAUCUUGGUUGACCCGACCUGGGUCUAAUUAAUUUAAAUUUUUGUUUCGUUCAUUCUUUUAUUGGACUGCAAAGACAACAAUCGAACACUCUACCUUUCACGACAUUAAUUCAAGCAGAAAAUAGUUCUCCAUUUCUCGAUUUUCUACCCCACCUUUCAUUGAGACAUCACAGGUAAUCGCAUCACCUUUUAAUUGCCCCUUUUCUCCUUAUAUUUUUCUAAAUAGUAUAAAUAGCACUGCAUUUGAUUAGGCUUUUCACUUUAGCUUUCUCUGAGAUUGUGGUCAGAGAACCUUUCCCGUCAAAAUAAAAGAAGCAUUAUAAUAGUAGUGGCGAAAAUAGCAUUCUUUUUAAAUGUAUAACAAUAAUAAUAUAGGAAACGACAUUUUGCUUUUUCCGGUUUCUUUGAUGUUGCAACUGUGAUUUUUUUAUUUGACAUAUGGGUUAUAAAUAGUAUAAAUAGCACUGCAUUUGAUUAGGCUUUUCACUUUAGCUUUCUCUGAGAUUGUGGUCAGAGAACCUUUCCCGUCAAAAUAAAAUAAGCAUUAUAAUAGUAGUGGCGAAAAUAGCAUUCUUUUUAAAUGUAUAACAAUAAUAAUAUAGGAAACGACAUUUUGCUUUUUCCGGUUUCUUUGAUGUUGCAACUGUGAUUUUUUUAUUUGACAUAUGGGUUAUACGUUUUUCCUACUGAUACAACCAAUUAGUAGUAUCACAAAUUGGGGUUGCAACAUUUUAAGCUCCCCAGAGUUAUAUAAUACACAGUUUUUAUCUUUUAUAUUUGACGUAUCUAUGCCUUAGUUUUUCUGAAAAUUUCACAUCCGGUACUCGUACCGGUGCUGUACCUAUACAUAUGCUUCUCAGAACAUAGAAGGUUCCGAGUAUGGGUGCACAAGUAGCUUAGCGGAUUCGGGCAUUAGAUAUAGGGCAUCAUUCAUUUUCUUUACCAAAACAAAAACUAUGAUAAUCAAAGAAAGUGGAAAGGUUUUAUGCUAAUUUUACACUCUUUAUCCUCUUAUCUUUGACAUUUGCAGAUUGAUCGCAAAACGACACAACCUAUGUCUAGUUAUAAACUAUGCAAGAAUGUAAUCAACAUUAUUUGCAGUAUUGAAUUGCUUUAUAAAGAGAGUAAUCAUAGGAAAAAAAAACCUUACGAAAACGUAAUCGGCAUAACAGCGCUCUGCAGUAUCCUUCUUCCAGAUCAGGAUUAUUUUGAAGUGGCUCUAUAUCUGAAACCAGAAAGGUCACAAGUCAAUCAAAGCAUAUGCAUAUGUCGCACACCCUUUGUCAUUGGGGAGAAAGACAAGAUGAUUUUGAACUCGACAACUAUGAAGCAUAAAGACUGUAAUAACUAGCACCAUAAGGUAUGGGUAAUAAAUGGAAUGUCUAUGUUGUUGAACCCUAACUUCUCACUUCUACUUCUAUUUUUCUUAAUUGGACUGCCCCUGUAUUAUAUAUACAGUAAAGAAAAUUUAUAAGAGCGACUUCACAAUGACCAGGCAUACGAUACACAUACUCAAAUAUACUUGAUUGUAUUAAAAGUCGAUGAAGCAAGGAAACCAGAUUAUCAAAGAAUGGCAAAAAGUCUGCCACAACAAGUAUUUGUAAAAUUGUAACCUUUUCAAACAUAAAAAUAUCAACAUUCUUCAAGAGUAAUCAACUUCAAAGAUUAAUUAUUUACUCUAUACCAUUAUUACCAAGUGUCAACUUCAUUCCCUUCUGCACAACUAUAAUUUUACAACAAUAUCAUAAUAUAAGGCCUCACUAGAGCAUGUUGAGGUUUCAAAUUUCAACAAGCAAAUACCUUCCGACACUCUUCUUUUUGAUGAUGUAGUUUUACAAGCACGCAAUUGACGACAUAUUGUUUCUUCAACAGCAUUUAACAAUGCUAAACACCUUUCAUUUCCAUCUUCAUUUAAAGGAAGUCCAUAUGCCAUGAUAAAUAAAUCUUCUUCCUGACACAAAUAAAUAUCAGCAAUUUUAACAAAAAAUAAAUAGUGGCAUCUGUCAGCUCAAAUAUACAGGUUAUGGAAAAUACAUUUUUUUAAGGAAUAUGGAAAAUACAUAUAGAGCAUAUGUUAGGAAAGCAAACAACUAAGGCUGCACAUCCAUAUGCCAUCCACUUAGAGAAAUGCUGCAUGCCAGCGUAAAUAUUCAGUGACACAUAAAUAUUGCAAAACAUAAGAUCCAUAGAAAUAACUAAUGAAACAAAGAAUCCAAACAUUCUAUGUAAUUUAGUGAGUAGAGACAAUACAAUAAAUAGUCGACUUCUCCAAAAAGAAGUAAAACCAGUACUUAUUUGACCAAACAGAAAAAAGUUGAAAACUAUGUGAUGAAACCAGAAAAAAGAUCCUAUCAAACAGAGAUAAAAAGAAAGAACUGUUGGAAUACAUUACUUCAUGUGUACGUGAAUCUGAGACAACUGAAAGAACUGCUUUGCAGGUUGCACGUAUGAUUUGGCAGAAAGAGUGCAACAGGGCAUGCGAUGAUGUCCUUUCAGGCCGCAGGAGAUAGAGGCAAGAGUAGACAGUUUGUGCCAGGGAAUGACCUUUGUGCCAUGUUGCCUGAAAUAUCAAAUGACAACUAGAUAAAGACAAGAAAAACAAAUAAUCAAGACCUGUCUAGUACAGACAGAGAUAUUGAACCCAAACAAAUGUUAUUGCUUGUGCAUCUUCAAAAUUUAUUACACAAAGGGUAUAUUUUGAUGUAUUCAAUGUAUCAUAUCCAGAUUUCAAGUUCAUCAGCCUCACGCAUAAUGAAGAUGUUUCUCUAGAAAACUAAAGUCAUGGUUAUUUGAUACAAAGGCAACAAUAUAUAGAAGGCAGAGACAAGAUGAUGAAAAUACCUCGCAUGCUAGUAUAUGGUCGAAGAUGUCAAUUAUGCAUCGAACAUCAGUAGUUUUAUCAUCACUAACAGGAACUGGAGCAGCACCAUUCUCAAUAGCUUCAUCAAGAGAGUAGUAUGUGGAAGCCAUACCGGAGUCCAUUUUUGGAUCCAUUAUCUACAAAAAUAUCAAAUAAAAAGGGAUAAUUCAAACCGAUCAAUGUUAAUUGUAGAAACAGCCAACAUCAUCUCUACAAACAUCUCUAGCAUAGAUAUUUCUUACGCAUAGCAGUGAGUUAAGCUCAAAAAGACCUAGACCAUGAUUGGAUAAACAAUGGCACAAGAGCUUAUGGUAGAAGAAGAUAAGGUCAAAAAAGUGAAUUGAAAGAGAUUUGUAUGAUUCUAUGAAAUGGUUAUAAAAGGAAAGAUGAUAUAGAAAACCCUAAACCGUAGGAAGAUGAAAGAAUACCUCAAGAGCAGACAUGGCAGCAAAGAGAUUGAAAUUAUCUCCAUGAAUAAGGUCUCCCUCAUGAAGAUCUGCAACAAAGAAAAACUGAUUAAAAAAAAAAAAAGCAGAAGUAAUUGAGUGAUCAAGUAGGAAACGAUGAUAAUGAAAGCAUUGCAAUUAGAGAGAGAGAGAGAGAGGACCUUGGCAAGCGGCGUGGAGGAGGGGAGAAACAUCGGCCCAAACGGAGUUAUCACCGGAGGGAAUACGUGGAGGACGGGAUUGGACGGUGGUUGUUGCGGCUUCGUUGGCGCGAUCCAAGGUCGCCAUAGCUUUGAAGCUCACGUUACUGUCCCCACUAGAAUAGAAUAGAGAGGGUGUGUUUGUGACUUUAAUUUGAGGUUUAGAGUUCCUUCAGUUUGCGCCGCGUUCUGUACUUGUCUUGUGAUGCUUUAUUGCCUUUCGUGUUCUGAAUACUACUAACUAAAGCUAGGUAGCUACAUGUAUGUAACAUGUUGCCUUACUUUUUUUUUUAUUGAAAUAUUUUCUAAUUUACUUUAUCUACAUGCCUCUGCAGUAAUUGAGUUUUCUUAAAUUUAAAGGAUGGAGUUUUUAUUUAUUAAAAAUAAACGAUAUUCAUUGAUAGAAAACAUCAAUAUAAUAUAUUCACUAAAAAUAAAAAUAAAAAUAAAAAGAUGAAUAUGGGAACAAACUCACAACAUUAUUCAUGUUAAUAGCAUAAAACGACAAAGUACAUAAACCUUCGAACAUGGUUAUAUUCAAGUCUUCGGAAUACUCAUAUCUCUGGAUCUGCAACGUUGACAACACCAAAGUCAUUGAUUGAAUGUGCAAUUAGUUAAAGUUGAUCUAACAAUUUGAAACAAACAAACACCAUAAUAAGACUAGAAAGACAAACAAUAUCGUACAAAGACGGCGAACAAAACAACGUCGCACUAAGAUAUUGGAUGAAGGAGAAGAAACUAGAGUUUUAGGUGUCGACUCUCAAGAGAGUGUUUUUUCUUUUUGAAUUCGUGAUUAAAGGACGGAGUUUUAGCAUGCAAUACAAAUUUCAUCAUUAAAAACAAUUAAUAAUUUGUAAAAUAAAAAUCAUUAAAAAGUUAUAAAUUGGUGAAACCAAGUAUUGGUUGUUUAUUAUAAUCACCAUUAAAGUAAAAAUUAAUGAAUGUUUUUGUGAGCUUAACUCAGUUGGUAUGAAUAAUGUAUAAUAUAUGUAAGGUUCGAGGUUUAAACCUCGGCAACCACAAAAAAAAAACUUUCUUGACAAAGAAAAAAGUAAAAUUAAUGAAGGUUGUUUAUCGAUUGCUUAAAUGUCAUAUGGGAAUUUGAGCCCACAAAAAUUAACUCGAACAAUCCAAAAUCAUUCAUUAAAGAUGCCCUCAGAAUCAAUCGAAACUAAUCUAAAUUAGCAUUUUUUUUUUUUUUCAAUCAUUUUAGCUACACUAAAUUUUUCAUCUUAAAUAAAAUAGCUUAAUCAACACGGAAUAUUUUCAGUUAAUGAAAUACUCUUUACAACACAUAAAUUAGUACAGAUGAAAUUACCAAAUAUCAAAGGGGUAGCCUAAUAUUAAGUCUUCUAAGCCAUAUUGAAUGAAGAAUCAUAUGAAACACAUCAAAUGGUUUAGCUGGUGGAUUCAACACAAAAUGUCUUUGAACUUUCAACACCCUCCUAUGCAAUUUCAAGUAUCUGGCAUGUGGAACACUUUUUAAUAUUGUCUUGAUUUCACUUAUCCUCUUUGAUGGAAUAUGCAAUGAAAAUUUGCUCCAAUCAAGAACAUCACUAAAGGGUAAUUGAUAGUUAUCCGAAACAAUCACAGGGACACAUCCAGUGUUUAUAGACUCCACAAGUCUAGGGCUAGCUACUUCAUAGCCACUUGGACACAAGCAAAACUUGCUUUUUCCCAUGAGUUUAAAGUACUUAAGUUUUUUUGGAAGAUAUUCAUACACUAGUACUUCUUUAUCUUUUCCUUUCCAUUGAUCUAGUAAUGUCUUUCUAAUCAUACCAUGUUCCCCUCCAGCAAAGAAAGCAAGUAUAGAACGAUUAUUUGAUUCUUUGCUUGGAAUUGGUGAGCUCAACUUGUAACCUUGUAGGUUCAUUUCAGGCAUUGAGACAUCUCUUUUAGGAUCAAACCCUUCAGAAGUGUUGGCAUUGCAUAACACUUUUAUUAAGUUCUUGAAAAGCUCUUUGCCUGAACUCUCUCUUGAGAUUUCUGGUGCCUGCAACAAGUUAAUAACUAUGCAUCAUUAAAAGGUAAGGAUCUAGCAAUAUAGUAGCAGCACAUUAGUCUUUAAUUAAAGUGAGUAGAUCAACAUUGGUGUAUUUGUUACCCAAUCAUGACAAGAUACUAGCAAAUGAUCUGCUCCUUUGCUCCUAUUCCAGUAUCUAUAUUUGUGAGCUAUGAUGUUGGUAUAAUCAAUGGUGACAUGCAUGAUUUGAUCCCUAGAGUAUGUGGUGAGAGGAUUGUAUAGGUAGUGCACCAUGUUUGUAACACUUAAGGGUAGCAUAAAGACAUGAGCCUCAUCUGGAUUGUGGGUCGAAAAUGGACUCAAUCUAUUCUCAAUUUCAGUCAUGAAAUGUCCCUCGAUGCCGUAAAUUGAACUCAUGGGUCCAUCAUGGACUAAUGGUGGUUCACCUUCUUUGUAAGUCCAAACUUUGAAUCUCUUCAACAUCUCUUUGUGACUUCUGAAGAAUUUUAGAACGUGUUAUGAAAGUUACAGCCAUGACAAAAAUAAAUAAAACAGUGGUACAUGGUAAUGACUUAUGAUAUAUGGUCCCAUACCAAAAAGGGACCUUCUCAAGCGUGAAGAGUGAAGAAUGGUGACUUUUUUAAUGUUCAUCAUAGCAAUAUUUAUGAUGAAGAUUUCAAGUGCAAUUCCGGGACUAAUAAUCCACCGUGCACGAGAAGGCAUAUCACUCAAAAGGAAGAAAAAAUUGAUGUAAACUUGUCAAGUCAUUGCCCAACUCGUUAAUGUAUGUAUAUAAAAUAAGAUUUCUUUUUUAACAAAGUGAUUAAAGUAUAUGAUGAAUCACUCACUAUUGUUAUUUUUUGGGAGAUUAUUUUUCAACCCUUGUAAACAUAUGUUUGUUUUCACGGUGGAAGCCCAUAGUGGCAUAGAUUGUUGUGAAAAGGAUAAAAAAAAAAUGUAGUUUUAACUUCAACGCAACUUGAAAAUGGAAAUCAAACAAAGCAUAAGUUAAUUUAAAAAUUUGCAUAAAAACAUCUGACUCUUUCUUUAUUAAGUGGUCAUAAAGAAAAAGAUAAUUGAAACGUAAUAAAUUAACGUCACAAUAAUAUAAAAAACGUUCAUCACAUUACAAUAAGAAACAUUAUAAUCGUUUUUAUAUACACUUUAAAUUAAAUCACACAUCAAUGAUAUUUUGCUAUUUCAUCAAAAAUAUAUCCACAACACAAAUAUCUAUAUAUGUUGAAGAAAAUAAUGAUUGUAGUACUAGCUAGUAAAACGUACAAAGUACAAUUUUGUUUGAGAUAAAAAGUAAUUUCAAACUCUUAUAAUGAGGAAAAAAUUUCAAACUCUUAUAAUUGGUGUAGCCUUUUUAACUAUUCCAACACCUAUUUUAAUUUCUCCAAUAUAUGUAGGCCUAUAAAUUAAAUUUACAUCAACGUUUCAUCAUCAACAGCAAAAUAAAAAAAAAUAAAAAAAAGAGUAUCAGAUGCGACAUGAAUUUUUUUGAAAUAAGAAAUAGGUCAACAAUAACAACGUAUAUAUUUUUUUGAUGAAACAAUAAAAACAUAUAUAUGAAAUUAAUAAUUUGAUCAAGCUAAUUAAAAGUGUAUGUAUAUGUAUAUGUAUAGUUACUUAACUGAUGAAAGGCAAAAGCAUUUCUGUAAACACAUCCUCUGGGGACAAAAUCUUGUAUCUCUGAUGUGAUUGUGAAGUUCCGUCUUUUUAUGGCUCUUCGAAUCGCCGCUCUUGCUUCACCCAACUCUUGUUCAAUUCUCACUAAACCGUUCUUCCCCCUCUGUUGCACCACUCAUGCAUAUUGCAUGCAUGUAAUUAAUUAAUAACACAAAUAAUAAUGAAACAUAUAAUUCAGUAAUAACAUGCAUAAAGGUAUUUAUACAUAACAUGUUAUCAUGAUUCAUGUGCAUCCAAUUCAAUAUUUAUAUAAAGAAAUUAAAAAGGACAAACUUUGAUGAUAGUAUGACCAACAGAUGAUGACAAGGGAGCAGGUGCAGCAGCUGCUGCAGCUUCCAGAGUUUUGAGAUUGUUUGUUGGAGGUGGGAGAUUGAUGGUAGGAAGUAGAAGAAGUAAGUCAUUUUGAUAAUAAACGAAGAAAAUAAUGAUGAACAACGUUACGGGAAAUACAAGCCAUGAGUAGUUCAUUAUCAAGGUUGCUGCCAUGGCUAUUUUGUUUCUGAUUAGUUUGGUGAUAAAUAGUUCACUAGUAGUAUUUCUAUAUUGGUCUCUCUUUUUCUCUCUCUUGGUUUGGCUCCUAUGAUAAGCUAUAAUAAUAAUUAGUAGUACAAAGGAAUUAGGGAAUGGGAAGAGAGAGAUGUCAUGGGCAUGGGGGAUUGUUGAAAUUAAUUAAUACUCCUAUAUAUGCUAACAUAACAUAUGAGAAUGACCAAGCUAGCUAGCUAUAACCCUUUAGAGAAGACAAGCUCACUUCUCAUGGUUGGUUAAGAAUAGUUGGUUAAUGUUUCAUGAAACGUUUUUUGAAUGAGGUCAUGGGGGAGGCACUUAAUUGUGUAUUAUUAUCUAUAUUAUAUUAUUUGAAGUUUUUUUUCUUUCAAAUGUAUGUAUCAAAAAUGUUUUUCUCACUUUAUCAUUUUUUUUAAGACAUAAAAAUGGAAUAUAUUAACACUGGCGGUGAGUGCUCCUCAGUACAAAGGUGUACCGAACAGACCACCCCAAAUAACAAUCUGUCACAUAAGUUAUAUACAAUAAAAACAGGUUCGUCGAUCCCCAAACAAAUCAAGGGGUCUGACCACCAUCUCUAGGCAUUAUUAGCCUUCAUCCACCAUAAAGAAUGCAAUUUUACUUCUUAAUUCAUAUUUUAACAUUUAAAAUUUUGCCAAAUGAAAUUGGUCAAAAGAAAUUUGGUGUAAUUGAGUUUCCGAAUCAUUUUCUUAAUAUUUUAAUCAUUGCCGAAUAAAAAUCGUCAUGUUAUUAUUUUUAAUGGUCAAAGUAAUAUUUUCUUUAUGUACUUUAAAUGUUGCCAAAUCAAAAUAUAUUUUUUAUACAUUAAUGGUUUAUUAACAAAUCAAAAUGGGUCCAUUUUUUUUUUCCUUAAAACGUUAUAGGAAAUCUUACCAAAUUACUCCAUAAAAUAGACUAUAAAAAUUAUCUAUUUACCUUUAUAAAAUAUAACACAAAAAUGGUAUUAAAAAUUAAAAUGUUUAUUUACUAAAUUAAUUUUUAUAUUUGUAUGGUAAACUUGAAUAAUUUCUGAAUUGAAUUCUUCUCUAUUUUAAUGAUUUCAAUUAAACAUCAUUUUGAUUAGUUUACUAUAUAAUAUUUUUACGAAUAUUACAAAUGAUGAUUGUCUCUGUCUAAAAUUACAAGUUGUUUUGACCAUUUUACAUGCAUUAAAAAAUAUAAUUUUGUAUAAAAAAUAGAUAUUAUAAAUUGUUUUACAAAAUCAUUCUUAAUAAAUGAUAUGAAAAAGAUAAAUUAAAGAAAGUAAUAAAUAGUUAACAAGGGUAUAAUUGAAAAAAUAGCAUUAAUGUUUAAUUGGUAUCCUAAAACAACUUAAAAUUUAUGAUUUUUUUCUUAUAAUGUGAGAGGCAAGAGUAUAUGUUAUAGCAUAUGUAUCACGAAACACACGAAGAAUUACAUUUUUUUUUAAAAGCAUGAGAAAACAUGAAAUGAAAAUAAUUGUGAAACUGACCGCAAGUUGUUAAUUUUAUUUUCUUAAAAUAAAAACUAAAUAAAGAUUAGAAAAACUUUGGUAGUGAUGGAGACUUGAUCACGGGUCUCCAUGGAAUUCUGAGUGGACCUUAAUUCUUCGGUUAAUUGCAAUUUGAGUCUAGUGCUAGCAUAAUCAUUACUUAUAAUGUGGAGACAUAUUCAACUUUCAAUCUCAUUCAUUACCCACCAGCACUGAGCAGAGAAAACUGAUAAACCCAAUACAAGAUGUGCAAGGUGACCUAGAAAGAUAUGAUAUAGGAGAGAAAACUCCAAACAAAACAAGCAACUGCUAGAACAGCAGUUUGCAAGGCUGUUGUGUUGGAUGGAUCAUUGACAAUUCAGAAUAUCUUUGAACAAUAUCUACAACAAGAAAAUAGCAUACCAGAAAGUCUAAUAAUAAUACAUCAAUAGCAGUCAAUGUCUUUGAACAAUGAAGAAAAAUUCCUUUUACAUGUUUAUUUUUGCCCUCAAUCCUAAACAUAAAAAAUGAGUUUAUACAUACUUUCAACUCCAAAUCUAUCCCUAGCUAACUUUUAUAAUCAACAUUUUGGAACUUAAAAAAGCCAUGGUAAAAUGAGUUUAUAGUGAGUUCCAAGCUGAUGCCAACCUUGAGUGAAGUGAAAUAUACUUUAUUUUUUCUCUUCUCCACACUAACCUCAAACUCAUUUCUACAUUGAUCAGAUAAGUAGAUAACACAUCAUGAUUUUGGAUUACAUUCUUGGCAACUUCAAUUUUGUUUACAUUUGAUUGAUAACAAAGGUUAAAACACAACCAGACCAAACAACAUAGGGUAAUAUAAGAUCAGAUCACUCACAAUUUAUUCACGGAUGCAGGGUAAUAUUCACAAUGACAAGUGCAGGAUACACAAUAUCAACUCCUCGUACCGGAACCAUGUUCAUCUGCAUUUUGUCAUACUAUGAAUAUAUCAUGAGAUAACAAAAACAUUAUAGAAUACAAACACUAUUAGUGAAAAUUAAAAGUUAAAAUCUCAGGAUGUCAAAUGAUCAUAAAUUCCCUCACCAAGAUACCAAAAUUCAACAGCAUAGUACCAAUCCAAAUAAUUUUUUUCUAUUAAAUUUUUCAGAAGUAAUAGAUGGAGUUCCUGAAAAGGAAUAUGAAAUGGGACUUUUAUAGUUCUAAUCAAAUUUUUCAAAUGAUUCCAUGAGGCAGAAAUGAACCUCAAUAUGCUUGAGAAAUUAAAUUAUUAAUCGCUUCACUAACAAAAAUAUAAAUUAGAGCUUCUUUGCAAUCUUCCUUUAAUUGCUAAAACUUCUAAUAUGUAUGCUAACUAUUGUACAGAAAAAUGAUAAUAAUGCUAUUAAUAUCACAGCCACUACUAUCAUCAAAACUCAUCAAAUCUAAUUUUUUUUUUUCUUUCUCAUUGAAUAUUGCAUCAUAUGUAACAGAAAAACUAUCUACCUUGAGGUGGUGAACAUCACUCCCACAGAUUCUACUAGCUUUCAUUUUAAUUCUGACAUCAUUGGGUCCUUCAAACAUACAAAAAUAGUUAUAUCAGAAACACAAAUUUUAGAAACAUGCAAAAACACUAAAAUCACGAAAACAAAACAUCGAAAUUCAAAAUCACCAACCAGCAACAAAAAACGAAAGAAUCAUUAUAAUGGGAAACCAAAGAUUGCUUUUCUUGUUGGGAGCAAUUGCUGUUAAUUGUUUACUGUUUCAGUCAAUUUUGGUUCCAUAUGAAAAUGAAAGAGCUCCUUGAUCUUCUUCUGAUUUCAAUAAUGCUCUUAUGGUGGAGAAAGUGUGAAUAUUCCCAUUAUUGAAGAUGUAGGAGUGCAUAACUAUGCAAAGAUGUAGUAGUUUAGUUUCUGAACUUGGAGUGGAUAGAAAUAAUUUUCAUAUUUUACUUGAGAAGAAAGAUGUUGGUAAAAUAAAAAGUUGAAGUUAGAUAAUGUAGGUUUCAAGAAAAGUUUCAUAGCAGUGAAGCCAUGUUUGGAGACGAAAAUGGGAAUUUCUACAAUUUCUCAGUUGGUAAAAAGUAAAAAUAUUGAUUCAAGGGAGCAUGAUGGAGUUGGUUUUGGUGCCUCACAGAGUUCAAUUUCAUUGACUAAUCAGACUCUUGAAAAUUCUCCUCAGAUUAAGUAGUUGUCUGCCUCAGAUAAAAGUACUGCGGCGAAUAAUAUUACUAUGAGAAAGAUAAGGUGUAAUAUGCCCCCCUAAGUCAAGAAUGUUGAUACAGGAGAUGAACCAUUUACUAGAGACCCGCCGCACUUCUUCUCGCGCAAUGGUAUUAUUUUUGACAAUAAUGAAAAUUUUGACCUUGUAAUGCAGAUAUUUGUUGAAAACUGAGUAAAUAUUUUUCCUUUUUGCAAUUUAUGAAUGAAAAAUUCAGUAUUGUAUAUAGAAAUUAGAAACAAUAAAAAAGACAAACUUUAGUACUCAUGCAUUGUUUUGGAGCACAGGUGAUUGCUAUGAAAUGGACACCAAUUUUGAUCAUGGUCAUUACUUCUAUUGCUCUUCUAGGGGCUGGCUUAGUUAUCAGAGAUGACUAUAUUUCUAUUUUUAAUUCAGAAGGAAGUGCAAGUGAAUCUGAGGAUGAUAAUGAGAGAAAUGAUGUGGCAGAGGAAGAAACAGAUGAAGAUGACAAUGUCUUUUUUGAUGCCUGUGAUAUUCUAUCAUCAAGAGUUUCAUCUUUCUCAUCUGAUAAUGAUGCAUUUGAAUAUGUAGAUUCUUCAAAUAGAAAUUGCCAGACCCUGUAGAGAAAGAGAAAGAGAAAGGUGUUAGUCUUUGGUCAAUGAUCAAGGAAAAUAUAGGGAAAGAUCUAACAAAAGUUUGCCUUCCUGUUUACUUUAAUGAGCUUUGAAGAAAUGGAGUGCUCAUAUGUGCUUGACCAAGCAUAUGAAUGGGGAAAAAGGGUAAGUCAUAUUUGGCUGACAGAUUUAUAUUAAGGAAAAUAUGGGCACUUCAAUAUGAUCUAAGAAAACUAUUUGAUAAAAUAUUGUGCGAUGUUGAUUUUUGUUUACUAUUAGCUCUUUCAAUGCUGUAUUGGUGUGCUCUUCCCUUUUGCUGUAUCUGCCUAUGCUUCAACCGAAGGAAGAAUUUGCAAACUAUUUAAUCCAUUACUUGGACUCCUUCACAUCUGUUUGAAAGGAACAAUGUUCCCAAUAUGGAGGACAAGAAUUUUGGGAACUACACUAUUUAAUUCAUGAAUACACAUAUUGAGUCCAUUAGUUCUACACAACCCUAUGAACAUGAUACACUUUAAUUUGGAGAUACAAAUAUUUAUGCUACCUCUCAGGUCAGCCAUCACUCUAUGAUAGUUGCAUGUCACUGUCGGUACUUUGACUUUGGAAUUUGAUGAUGGGACCCUUUUUUCAUGAGUUGAACAAAUGCAUGUUGUGGAUUAUGAUAAAGGUCAUCAUUGAUGAGAAUUGAUAGAGGUCAUUGUUGUUUGGUGUGAUGCUAAUUCUCUAACACAGAUGGUUUUUUGGCAUAAUUGAUGAGAUAUAAAAUUGAUUACCUUUUUGGUUAUAUCAUUGGUGUUAAUAAAAUUGGUGAUGCUUGAAUUGUUAACUAGAUGGUUGUUUUUUUUGCAAUAUUAAGGGACAGGAAAGGAUGGCAAGAAUGUUUACUUGAAGGAUAUUUGGCCAUCCAAUGAAGAAAUUGCACAGGUGAAUGAUGCCUGGUAUUAUCAUUAUGUUAAAUUACUUAUUGAGAAUUUGAGAUAUGAUGUGUACAGAAAAAUUAACUUUGGUUUUUGCUUGAUUCCAAUACAGCGUGUUGCCUGACAUGUUCACAAGUACAUAUGAAGCUAUUACUAAGGGUAACCCUAUGUGGAACGAACUACAAGUUCCUGCUGAGAAGCCGUAUUCACGGGACCCCAACUCAACAUGCAUUCACGAGCCUCCAUACUUCAAGGACAUGACAAUGGUCCUCCUGGACCUCAUGGUGUGAAGGAUGCCUAUUGCCUGUUGAGUUUUGGUGACAGUAUAACAAAAACUGAUCACAUUUCUCCAACUGGAAACAUUAACAAGGACAGUCCUGCUGCACAAUACCUUAUGCAAAGUGGGGUGGAAAAGAAGGAUUUCAACUCUUAUGGAAGCCGCCGUGGCAAUGAUGAAUCACAUACUCACAAGAUUAAUGACGUAAAAUAAGACAAACGAAACAAAUGCUAGAUAUCAGAAUAAUGACACGCUAGACUCCACACAACCACAUAAUCGAAAACACCAGACCAAAAACACACCAACAGCAUGCCCCUGCACUCUACCUCAAGCCGAUCGCUCCACAAACAACAAUCCAAAACCACUAGAGAAAAAUACAAACUACCUUAUGAAACACUCUCCCGGACACCACUCCAUUCGAAAGUGAAUGGUACAGGUUAAUAAUCUGAAUGCCAACAUGGUUAAUAAUAAUAUGAACAAUUUAACUACAUAGCUACAUGGCAACAUAAAAACUAAGCUAUUCAAACAACAGCAUUUGCUACAUAAGCUCUAAUCUGAAGAAUAAACGUGCAGUAUUCCAUCUUCCCUCUUACUAAUAAUAUAAAGCACAUCUCUAUAGUUUCAUUAGAAACAAUGAAAGAAUAAAAACCCAGGAGAUGCCAACAGUGAUCACUUCAGCACAGGAAGCUACCAGAACAAUUUGAUGACAUAACCAUUCAAAGCGGGAAAAAGUAAAUGACCUUUUGACUUGCCAUUUUGCAGGUCUCUUAUAAAUACUGCACGGGUGCAGAAUUUCCCCCUGUUCAUAGAUUAAGAAACUGUCCGUUAGUUAUCAAGAUCUAUUGCACAGAUAUUAUAAAAACAGUAGCCCAAAACAAAAAUAGGGAACCAUACCUUUCUAACAAGCAUCUGUUAGAUAAUCUUAUUUCGUACUUCCUCGAGUUUCUUUAGUAUCUCUCCAGGGGUCCUGUCCAAUUCAUCAGCAAUUUUUCUCUGCAGAUCCAUCGGCAAUGUUGGGAAUUGCUCACAUAGGUCCCCAUCAAUCACAUCCUACACAAAUAUGAAGGCCUCUCAGAAUUGUCAAAAAUUAAAGAAACUGAUUGAUCAACAAUUUCACAGCAACUGAAUCAAGACUUUCAUUCAAAUGAGGAAAAAGGGACGGGUUAAUUGGAGGGACAUAAUUAGACAUUUUGUUUGGUUGAGAGAGGAGGGGAGAUAAGCCUAUCUUUGUUUGGUUCACAGGAGGACGAAUUUCAUCGAGGAAGGGGAAGAUAAUCCUUUUCAUUUUAUCAAAUACAUUUCAGCCUGAUGCCAUAUAAAAUCUAAUGAACCAUACCUCUCCUCUAAAUCCACCAAUAUUUGGAGGAGUAAGAAUUGAACCAGAAGGAUUUUGCUACACUAUGCUAAAACCAAAAUCACUAAGGAAACCAAACUAAAGUGAACAGACCUAUUUUAUACACUCAAAAGCAACAAUAUCAGUAUCAACCUAUAACAGAAGGUUAAUAAAAAUAAAUUUUUUUAUUUGAUUUCAACAAACAAGUUUAGGAUUUGACAAUACACAAAUAUGAAAGUGAAGGCUUGUUAUUUAAAUGUAGAUUAAUAAUGAUUUGUUCAAAUUCUGCUAUGCUAAAGCGUGCCGCUAUUUAACAAUGCUGAACUGACAGCAGUGCAAAAGGUAUAUAAGAAAACCAAAGUUUUACUAUCAAGCACGCAUAGUAUAGCUAAGAUACAAGAAUGGAACAUGCACAACCUAUUUUUAUUAGAUUAGAGUCUAAUCUAUGUUAUUUCCAAUUUACAUUGGUUAGAAUUACACUAAAUGAAUGAACAAAUGACACAUUUGGGUGUGUUAAUGUUUUCAUUAAAGGUAGAAGAUAAAAAGCCUCGGACAGAAGAACAAGUCAUGAAAAUGUAAUGGAGAGGAUGCUUUUAUCCCGUAUGGAUGGCAAGCAACCAUUUGGAAUAACUGUAAGAAAAAACGCAUAAUAGUUUAGUAUAUACCUUAACAGGAAAAUAAGCAGAUCUAUAAGCCAUGUGGUCUCUUCCACACAAAGGAGGAUUGUCCUGUCUCAUAUGCAUCUCCAAAUGAGAAAAAAAAUCAACAUCAUCUCGUGAAGUAAACGCGUGUAAUGCACCGACACUUCCCAUAACUGUUCCAUAUACAAUGCACUCUCCACCACCUGGUACAAGAGAAGCCUUUUGCAAGCUUGUGAUCACAUCCCCUACAUGGAAUUGUACAAUUUCUUCAACCUUAUUGGGAGCUCCAUUCAGCUUUCCCUGCUCCCACUUGAUCUUCCCACCAGUAGGAUCUUCUUCUAUCUCAUCAGAAACAUCCUGUGGCAACCGCGCAAAAAAGAUAUUUCCAAACUUGUCUGCACCUGCCAUGGUGUCAAAAUCUAUGUGAUAUGACGAAGUAAGCCAUCUUGGAACAGAAUCAUCAGCAAAUAUGUAAAGCUGGUUUUCAUCCCGUCUAUACUUGCAGUAAUGGAAAGACUGGAGAGAAUACACAACACAAUUAGCUGAAGAUUUUAUUUUGUGAACAGAAAUAGGAGAGUAGCAACACAUUCAAUCUGCGAACAAACAUGUUGUCUGUUUGCAAAAUUAUGAAAAUUUUAAUUCCUUAUAGAAGCCUUAGUCAAGUUUUCCAAAAUAGUAUACUUCCAACUGGAGCAUUCUUAAGAAAACAUGCGAUAACAAAUGCUAACAGCAAAAGGCAGAAGUCAUAACAAACGAUAAUUGUCGGAAUGUCUAACUCAAAUAUCCAGAUAUUCAACAAAUAAAGACAAAAAUUGUAUAGAAACAUACCUCUUGGAUGCCACCUACAUAAAUUCGAUCACGGUAGGCAUGAAUAGAGACAAUGGAGCUGGGGAAUGACUUAUUCUCACAUUUUCUUAAUAAUCGUCUUUUUCCCAAAUCAUAUAGCCUGAGUACAGGUCCAAUUCCUGCAAGUAAUCUUCCUUGAAACUGACAUAGAGCGAGAGGAACACCCUCAACCUGAGUUUUGUGGAGAAGUUCAAGAGACCUUCCAUCAUCUAGAAACCUAUAUAUAUGAAUGAAUCCAGCAGUUAAACUCCUUUUGGGUGUAAACUGCAGUCCCUUAGCUGUACCAACAGCUAAAAGGGUUCCGUAUUCCUUGUCAUGAAAAUUUACAGUGCAUAUGCUGAAUGCAGCCUCAUUCUCCUGAAGCUCCAAAAGACAGGUCGUAUUUCCUGUCCUUGGAUCAAGAACUCUGAUGCAGGAUACCCACUUAUCUGAUUCAGAUUUUGGAUAACCAUAAUGCUCGUCAGAGAGGGAAUCGUCGUUAUCCUCAUCCUCCCCACCAUUCUCCAUUUGAUCUUCACUUCCAGUCUUAUUUUCCCCAGCAUGAGCAGCCUCAAAACACUCUUUCCUUGCAGCUUCACGCUCUUCUGCUGUAAGUGCUCCUUGAUCACUCUCAAUCACCACCAGAAGUUUCCGUUUUGGUUGCAGCACAAAUUUCCUUGGGGUGUAUCUAAGAGGAAUAACAUUCUGAUUAAAUGUUUCUCCUAACCUUUCAACGGUAAAAAUCCUCAAUGCCUCACUAGCAACAGACACUACACCUUCAAAACAUUGGUCAGAUGAAAAUGACGCGGCGUAUUCAAGGGUUUCAUAUGAAAGGGGCGUUAAAAGGAAAUGUCCUUGGUGAAUAUAACCAAGCCAAGGUCGACUUGACAGGCAAAGCAUAGCACGCUUUCCUCUUACAAUAAUGGGAAACAGCUUUGGGGCUUUUAAUCCUAAGAAUCGGGAACGGGUAUCAGAAAGAAGACCUGUGACCAUAUCCACCACAGUUCUAGACAAGACACCAUUCUGCAAACCAGCAUUAAGGAAAAGGCUAGCAGGAUGAUCUGCACCAUCCUCACCACCAACAGAUGCUUGAACUUCAAGGAAAAGAAGAGAUUCUGGGGCUGAAGAAAGACUCUGUAUACCUAGAGUCUGCAUACAAUCAUCGGGAUCCAACGAUAAGAUUCGGAUCGUUUUGUCAUAUGAGCCAACUGCAAGAAAACGGGAUCUUAGUCUGCCUUUAGGCACUGGAGCAAUGUCCAAACAAGCAACAUCUCCUGACAUUUCAUGCCGCUCCACCUCCAUCAGCUGACCAGUUACAUCGACUUCAAAAUAUAUAAGCUCCCCACCGUUCAGCGCAAUAACAACCUGAAGUCUAUUGGACCCAACUUUUGCAAUUGUCCUCUUUCCAGAAGUUUGCCACUCAUUCGUACGGCCAUCCUCCCUAAUAUGCCUAAUACCAUUUGGAUGAACCUGCAUGAGAGAAUCAUCGCCUAUCAAAGAAACAGCGAGGGAGGGAGCAGUAUCCAGAAAACCACUGUCGCUGACUUCAUCAGCAGUCUCACCAAUAGAAAGCACAAGUGUGGCAUUUGUGAAGGACACAACGAUAUAUGCAUCAAACUCAUCCAUAACAUUCUUCUUAACAGUCCAAACAGCACUAGGUAUACCAGGAAGCUUGGAAACCGCCAUCUCACUAACUGCCAAACCAGUUCUCAUGAUCCUCAGAGAUGACCGAGGACCGCGCCCACAAAGAGUAAAAAUUUGGGGAGUCUCCUCUUCAAAGAGAUUACUGACCUUCAUAUCCAUGACAGGCAUCAAACUCUCAACCUGGUCAAUCCUAACAAGGUUUUUGAGUCUCCUGGGCUGGAAAAACACAGGCUGAAAACCCUCUUCUGUUUCCAUCAGACUCGCAGACGAUGCUCCCACAUCAUUAUCAUCAUCCCCUAUUCCCUUAAAUUGAUACAAUGCAUGAUUCCCAAACUCGGAAGCUGCAAACAAGAACCCCGACUUGAGCACACAAAUUGAUACAGCAACAGCAAUAGUAUCAAAAUACUUAAUAUUCAAUUCAGAGACACGGUCACCACCACCGUCAGUCAAAGUUACCUUAAAGAUAUCACCAUACUCAGUCUGCAAAAGGAAGAACAAUUUAAACUCCUCAGGUUUCAAAUUCUUUGUUUUAUGCAUAGCAGCCGAAACAAUGAGAACACCACGCUCGGCAGGCAAAUCAGCACGUCUCGGAAUCACAGCCCUAACAUCCGGAUGACCCUGAUUCUUAUAAAUAACAAAAUUUUCAGCACAAACAAGCACCCCACUAGGGCCAUCAGCACCACCAGGAACAGUCACAAGCAUAUUAGCACCAUUAUCAACCUGAUCAGACCACUUCCUAGAAACAUGAUUAAGACCCAAAUCAAGUUCAUAAAAAAUCAAAUGCUUCUGAGCUUGAGAAGCAGCCACACCAGUAGCAUCCUGAUCAGCAUCAGAACAAUCCAAUUCAAUAGCAGCAAAUAUAGGAUUUUCAAAACCACAAUCAACAGCACAAAUUGAAAAAACAAUAGUAUGAGAUUUAUUUGCUUCUAAAGGCGAAGAAAUUGUUAACCUAGCUAAACUAUCUCUAUUCAAAACAUAAACAAGCUUCUUUUUUUCACAAGCAGCAAUCAUAACAGCUCUACCUUUAGGAUCAAUUGCAAGAUACUGACCAGGAACAAUUCUCCGGCAACCUGAUUUCCCAAAAGUUUCUUGGUGAAUUUUAUCAAAAACGUUUUUCUGUUUGUUGUAAUCAAGGAUUACGAUUCUGCCGGAGUCAGAACCGACGACGAUGAAGUCUUUCUGAGCUCCGGUGAGACGGAACUGAGACAGGGAGCGAAUGGUGCCGAAAACUUGGACGGAAAGGAUUGAUUGAAUGCGGCCAAAUUUGUCGGGGCGAAGAAGUUCGAGAACCUUGCCUCUGGCGACGACGAUUUCUUGGGUAAUACCGUCGUCUGAGCCGGAGAAGUUGCCGUUGAUUGCACAGACAAUGCCGGUGGGUCGUUGCAGAGUGAGAUUGUAGAGAUACAUGGCUAUGACAAAGCGAUGCACAGAAGGGUUUAGGGUUUUAGAGAUUUCGAUAUGGUAAUUGUGAAGGGUUUACGGUUAUAGCGGUUGGGUUAUCGAUUACGAUUUGAUAAUCGUGUUUUUGGUUAUGGAGAAUGGUGUUUAUAUACUCUUCUAAUGAGUGAAGGAAAGGAAAAUAAUUCUGGAAUAUGGGCCGUGCUUUUUUUAUUUGGUAAUACCCAAAAAUCUUUUAUGCCCCCUGAAUUUCCCAAUUUGCCCUUAAUCCAAGAGUUCUGUAUGUCUUGAGUUGAACUUGAACGUACGUGCAGUGCAGGAUUUGUAUUUUCACUGUCUCAUUUCAUCUUCCUUUCUCUGAGUUCAAAAAUCGACCUAUUCCUUCUCCAGUUCAUUUUUCACCCAAUUUAUGUUCCUUCUGUACGCAUCAAAUGAUUUCUCUAAGUCGACCUAUUGUUGAAUCUUGUUCCUAAAAUCUGUUCUCGUAAGAGUUUUGUUAGGGUUAUCUCCAAAGUUAAGGUAAAAUCUCCACUUAAAUUUUAAGUUUCAGUUUCUAGUAUAUAACUAUUGAUUGCAAUAUUAUUGCUACAGUUGUUCUGUAUUUGAUACUCAGUUUCUAAACUGCUUGAUUCUUCAGGUAUACAAUAAUAAUCCCAUUCCAAAUUGCUUGUAUUUGGUUCCUUUAUGUUAUGCUUGUAAUGAAAUCUAAUUGGUUACUGGCUGCCUUUUUUUUUUUGUAUAUUUGAAUUGGAUUUAAGUAGUUUGUUUUAACGUGUUCCAAGUGUUCGACAAGAUUUUUUUUUUUUUUUUUGUAGUAUAUAUGAAUAACGAAGAUGUUGGUAGGACACGACAUGGUAAGGAGUCAUUGCAUGCUUCUGUCUGCGGAGAGCGAGUGGCAAACACUCAGGCAAGGACACGUGGGUGACGAUGUGGUCAACUGGUCGUGGGCGUGGUCUGAGCGAGGGACCGGAAGGCUCUGGUUCAUAGUCUCAGGUUGAUAUCGAGAUGCCAUCAUCAAAGGAAGUAUCUGGCUCACAACCUCCUUCUGUAGGAGUGGUUCAAGAGGGCUAUGGCAGAGGACCUUCUGAGACGUCUUUGUUGCCGAAUUUUGGCCAACAUAUUGCAGCCAAGAUUUGGAAUGGAGAGGUAAGAAUACUUGCAUGAAUCAAUGAAGGAACCAACAAUGUGCAUAUUAACAUCACAUAAUAGUUAGAUUUAUAAAAGAGACUGCAAGUGUCGUAGACUAACCAAAAAUGAAUUUUUUCCAAUAUUUACAUCAGACAAAAUGAAAAGAACAAAUGGCAUCCCAAAGUCAAGAUAGUUUACGAUAACAAUCCAAAGCGAUACGCUAAAAUAGUAGAAGUUCAAAUAGUUCAACAACAAAGAUCUACUUUUGAACAACUCGAACGUGCAAGUUCUUUGAUGACUUUUCGAGAUCAAAGAUAAGCUUACCACCUUCUUCCAUCACACGUUCUCUGCUGAAAUUGAACCACUGUCCAUCCAAGUAUUUUUCAUAGCUUGCUCUUUCGGCGGUAAUGGGGCGACACUUAUAUUUUCUCUAUGUCUGGUCAUCAAUGAUAGUGAUUGUUUUGCGCAUUUCUUUCAGAAUUGUUCUUGACACCUCGUUUGGAAAAUACUAAACAGGGAAAUAACUGCAAUAUUAGUCUAAUGCAUAUUAACAUGGAUAAGAUGUAUGUGAAUAUAGUUACAUAUAAUUUAUAAAAUAAAGGUGGCAUAAGCUAAAGAAAAUGUACCAUGACUUCUAAUUUAUCUUCAUAUUAGCUUCCUAUAAAGUCUAGAUAAAUGCAUGCAUGUGAAUUAUAUGUACCUCGUUGGCUAAUUAACAUUGUUGAAACAAACGGAAAUUAAGCAUCGCUCCCGCAUGUGCAUCUAUAGCUAGCAUCAUUUGACAUUGAUGUCUUCGAACAUUUAAUGCAACUCUCGUAAUACCAUUCAAAUUGGUUAUGAUUGAAUUUAGUUGUUUUCCAAAUAGUGAUGCAGUAUGUUUCCUAACACAAAUUAUGCACAUAAAAUAAAGAAUAAUGCAAUAUGUAUUUUUAUUUUGUGCGUAAAAAAAUUCAAAGCAUGUUUGUGCAUAAAAAAAAAAAAACAAACCUUUACUAAGUUUGUAAAUUCAAUAAUUGGCCUAACUUGAGACAAAUUGAAAAAAUAAUUGUACGAAGUACGUUGAGAAGAAGCUGAACUCUGACUUAAGUUCUGACUGAAGCUUUGACUCUAAGUUUGAGAAGUGUUAAGGUCACAACAACAAUUCAAUAAACAUGGUCAAACAACAAUCAAAUCAGAUUGUGAAAUAAUAAGUUACUCUAACACUGUAUUUUGAAAUCAUAAUGCAAACUUACUAAGUCUUAAACUUCUCAACAACCAGAUGAUUUAGGUUGAUGACCAGCCUCGAACCUGACCAAUUGUUACAUAUAUUUGGGUUGCCAUUGACUACAAAAUAGAAGCAAAUAACUCAAUGUAUAUAGAUAGUAAAUGAUAAAGCUACAAAGUAUUUUUUUCAGGUCAUUAUCAACCAUAUUCCCACUGUAUAAGUAAAUACAUCUUUCAGGUCAUUAUCAAACUUAUAUAAAAUUGUAUCACCUGAUCCUGAAAAAUUAGAAAAUAAUACUUUUUAUCUUUCAAAACAAUGUUCGUACACGGUGUCUUGACAAUCUCAUGAAGAAGUCCGAUGAUUUCUUAAAAAAAAAAUUACAUCUAUAAGAACAAUAUAAUCGGAGAAAACACAGAAAUAAAUUAAAGCACAUAAUUAUACCAUAUAAAACGUCAGUUUUAAAUUUUCCAUCUUGAAUUUUCUUAAAUGACUUAAAGCGAAAUUCAUGAGUAAGAACGUUAGUUAACUUGUCAUACUUCUGCAUCUUUGUACCAGAACUAAAAACAACCUUAAAGGGAUUAAAUGCAACGUCAUUAUCAAACAUAUGACAAUUAUACAAAGUAUAAGUCUUGUUUUCCUCGAUCAAAGCCUUGCUCCAAUUCUCUAUAUCGAGUUAUUACAUGAACUCAAUCACCCUAAAUCCGAGAAAGAAACCAAAAAAUAUAAAUAAAUCAAAAUGUACACUAAUAAUUAACAUUGAUAAAUCAUAAUGAAAAUUACAACAAAUUUUAACUAACUCAUCUAACUUUUGCAUCACAAAUAACGAGCUUCAUAUGUUGAUUCUCAUUACUACCCGUCAUAAUCCAAGAAUCCAACACUCCAAAUCCUAUUUUCCAAAUGUCCAAAUCAUUCUUGAGAUCAUUAAUGUAGUCAUAAUCCCUUGACAUUGAAAGUCUUAUAUAGAAAUACAAUAAUACAUCAUUUAAUUUUAUUCUCUUUGUUCAUUCUGAUAUUGAAAGAAACUAACAUAUUUCAAUGUGAUCAAUUUUUGUAUCAUCAAUUCAACCUGAUCUUAAAUGCACAAAUUUCUGUAUCGUCAACUUUCUGGACCUCAAUGAUAUGACCAAAACAAAUUUACACCAAUCAACUUUCGUACGGCUCAAUGAUAUAAGAAAGAAUAAACCAAAUACGAAAACUGUUACAACUUUAGGAUUGCUCACAAAAAAUAAAAUAACCCACAUGCAUCAAUUUUUUCAACUACAGUACCAGAAACUAAAAUAACAAUUGUGUCAAAACCUUACAAUGAGCUAAAAUUCAAUCAUCAUGACCUCUACUAAAUUCCACAUAACAAAGUAAGAUUUAUUUAUGCAUUGUUCCUAUCAAAAGUUCACGAGGACAAAACUUUGAAUUUAUUAUGAAUUAACAUAAUAAAUAAAUAAAUAAAAAUGUUUAAAAUAUUUUCUGAAGGCCAAAAAUGUUAAAAAAAAAAAGAUUUUUUUUUUUUUUACAAAUACUAUAUUUACUCAAUAACGUUUAUUUUGUGUAACAUGAAUACAAAUUUGUAUCAUCAUAUAAAUGACUUGUUAAAUAUUUGAAUAGGAUAAACAAUAUAAGGAGUCUGAAAUAAUAACAUAAAUAAUAUCAAAAUAGUUGAUUUUUUUUAUUUCAAUUAUACUUUAUAACAAAUUUCGUUAUAAGAAUACCAUAUUUUUGGUCUCUUUCAAAAAUAUAAAAAUUUAUAUUAUAUUUGUUACAUUGUUGGUGUCAUGGAAACAAAUAUGGUUAGUUUUUAUGAAUAAUAAAAAAAUUAAGCAUAGUUUUUUUAGGUACCUAUACCUUUUUUGAAGAAAAGAUAUCUACAAUUUUACUUUUAAUUAAAAUCAAAAUCUUAUAAAAAUAAAAAUACGCAGUAUGCAACGCCAAAAAAAAUUAUGCGCAUCAGUGUAACAAAAAAACAGACACACAUAAAACAUUACUCUAAACGCUAAUGUGUGUAUGUAUAUAUUAGCGAGGUUGAAGAAAGAAAAUAAAAAUAUUUGGUAUCAUAAAUGACAGCGUGAAUAAAAAUAUUUGUGAGGUUGUGAUGAUUAAACAAUAUUGAAAUUAAAUAUAUAAAUGAUAAAAAGAUAAUAAAAUUCUUUUGAAAAAAAAAGGUAAUAAAAUUAAGUGGAACAUCCUUAAAAAAAAUUAAAUGGAACGGUUCAAAAAAAAAAUGGAAGAAAAAAAAAUAUUGAAAUAUAAUAUUAAAAAAUAAAAGAAAAGGUUCCCGGCGUGAAUUGAAGAGAGAUGCUUGUGAAAUAAAUCGUCGAGAAGUAGUUUUUUGAAAUAACAUUCAACAACUUUUGGCCAAAGCUCAUUCCAUUCAAUUUUAUGCAUUAAAAAAAAAGUGUCUUUUUUAGUAAGUACUUAAUUGAUAUUGUAUUUGGCUUAAAUUCUCCUUAAAAAUGUAGAGAAGUUGAAAAAAAAUCGGGUCAAUCGAUAUCUUAAUCUCCCACAACAGCAGUGUAGAAGCAACUGAAAUUGGAAGAAAAAAUUGGAAAAUAGUUAAUAUUAAAAAAAUUGGAAAAUAGUUAAAAAAAUUUAAAAAUAUAAAAAUUGGAAAAUAGUUAAAAAAAAUCGGUGAGGUAGCACUCAACCAAGCAACACUAAAAAAAAUUAUAUGCAUUAACGUAACAAAAAAACAGACAAAUGACCAUAAAAUAUUACUCUAAACGUUAAUGUGUGUGUGUGUAUUCGCGAGGUUGAAGAAAGGAAAUAAAAAUAUUUGGUAUCAUUAAAUGACAACGUGAAUAAAAUAUUUGUGAGGUUGUGAUGAUUAAACGAUAUUGAAAUUAAAUAUAUAAGUGAUAAAAAGAUAAUAAAAUUCCUUUGAAAAAAAGAUAAUAAAAUUAAAUGAAACCUCCUUAAAAAUUUAGAUGGAACGGUUCAAAAAAUUAAAUAAAAUUAAUAUAAAUGGAAGAAAAAACAUAUUGAAAUAUAAUAUUAAAAAUAAAAGAAAAGGUUUCCAACGUGAGUUGAAAAGAGGUGUUUUUGAAAUAAAUUGUCAAGAAGUAGUUUUAUAAAGUAACAUUCAACAACUUUUGGCCAAAGCUCAUUCCAUUCAAUUUUAUGCAUUCAAAAAAAGUGUUUUUUUUAGUAAGCAUUUAAUUGAUAUUGUGUUCGACCCUAUGAAGCCCGGAUACGUAGUACAAAUACGGGUACGCGGAUACAAAUUUUUUUUUAAAAUUAGGAUACGAUACGGCUAAUAUACGUUAACAAAUUAUUUAUACUAAAAUUUAUAUGCAUGUAAAAUACUUAGAAAAACAUUGAUUACUAUUCAAUACUAUAUAAUCAUAAAAGUCGCAAUUUACAAAAAAUAAUACAUGUGAUCAAAAUAAAAAAUGUAUAAGUAUUCGUGUGUAUCUGUCGAUUAUCUUAUAAGUAUCCGAUAAAAUAUAUAUUUUAAAUUAAAAUAAUUAAUUCUGAUACUUCGUGGGUACGUAUCCGCGGAGUAUCAGAAUCUGAUACGUAUCCAGUACGGUUACAUCUCCAUUUUGGGGUAUCCGGGCUUGAUAGACUAACUUCUCCUAAAAAAUAUAGAGAAGUUGAAAAACAGCCGGGUCAAACGAUACCUUAAUCUCCCACAACGGCAAUGAAGAAGCAACUGAAUUUAAGAUUAUUUUUAAUCUUAUAAAAUAAAUAUAAAAUAUAAAAUAAAAUAUAGAAUUUGGAUGAGUUGGCACUCUCCAAAGAUAAGGAAUUAUAAAAUUACCAAAUUGCCCCUCUAGGGACAAAAUUGGAAAUUCAUAUGACAUCAAUUUUAAUAAAUAAUAAAUAAAUAAUAAAGUAAUAAAUAGUAAAGUAAAGUAAAAAGUAAUAAAGUAAGUAUAUAUAUAGACCACAAUUACAAUUCGAAUACAAUGGAAUAUAUUCAGGUCCAAAGGCUAUGAAUUCUUGGAGUUGGAGGAGGGUAACGUAGAAGCAGCUCCCUCAUCAUUAUUGUUGAAGCGAUCACAAUGUAUGAUCAAAUCUUUUGUAGAAGUCAUUCCCUUAUUGUUGUCAUAAGAACCAUCGAAAAGUAUGAUCAUGUCAUUUGUAGAAGUAAGAUUAUUUUUUAAAAAAUUAAAUAUUAUUAAUUUUGAUAUUUUUGGUGCUUAAGAAGGGUACAUUUGUUUCAAAUGUAAUCUAAAAUUUAAACGUCUGAGCCAAACAGAGUGAAGUAUCAUAUGUAUCAAAUCAAAUGGCUUUGCUGGCCUAUUCAUCUCAAAAUGCUUUCUUACACGUCUAACAUUUGAAUACAACACCCUAUACUUUGUUUCUGUAAUAUUUUGUAAAAUAGUCUUAAUUUCUGGUAUUCUAUCAACUGCAAUUUCCAUGGAGAAUUGACUCCAAUUAAGCACAUCACUAAAAGGCAAAGAGUAAUUGUCACAAAUUAUCACUGGGACACAUCCUGCAUAAAUUGCUUCCACCACUCUUGGACUUGCCACUUCAUGUCCACUAGGGCACAAACAAAACUUGCUUAGACCCAUCAACUUUGUAUAAUCUUGACCUUUUGGAAGGUACUCAUGAACUUGAACUUCUUCAUCCUUGUCCUUCCAACUCUUGAGCAAUUUUUUUCUAAUCUUACCAUGGGCACCACCAGCAAAAAAAGUUAAGAUUGUUCGGUUAUUAGGGUGUUGGUCUGUAUUAGGUGGGCCAAGCUUUCCAACAGGCAAAUUCAAUUGAGGGAUGGACACAUCUCUGUUAGGCCAAAAUCCUUCUGAAGUGUUGGCAUUGCAGAGUGCUCUGAUGAAGUGCUUGAAGAGUUUAGGAUUAGCAUAUGAAACUCUUGGUCCCUGAAUCAUUAAGUAAAGGGUAUUUUUCUUGUAACAUCAUCACAUAGACUACUUAAAUUCAAAAAUGGUGAAAUUGUGAACCUACCCAAUCAUGGCAUGAAAGCAGAAAAUGGUCAGCACCUUGACUUAUGUUCCAAUAAGGAUACUUGUUGGCAACAAUUUUGAUAUAAUCCUCAACUAAAAGCUGUAAGCGAUGAGGAUUAUAAUCUGAUCUUGACUUUCUAGGCUUGUAAACAUAGCGAAUGACCUUAGACACGCUGAAAGGAAGAAAGAAAACAUGGGCCAGUUCAGGAUGAGUAGCCUUGAAUGGACUCUUGUUACUUGUGUCCAUUUCAUCAAUGAAUUGUCCUUCAAUGGAAUAUUUGUUGUUUACAGGUCCAUCAUGCACCAAUGGUUGCUCUCCUUCCUUGUAUACCCAUACCUUGAAUCUCUUCACCAUCUCCUUGUGGCUCCUGGUUUAGGGGAAAACAUAUUAUUGUACAAGUAUAACCAAACUGGUUUAGCUGAAAAGCAUAGAUUUGAAAUUGUUAUAAUUAAACUUAACUGGUGAAAAGCAUGUGGAUUCAAGUAAAUGGACCCUUUUGGAACAAAACUCUGUUUCAUGUUGGUUGUGGACUUCUUGGACCGAAUUGCUCUCUGAAUCAAUGCUCUUGUUUGUGCUAAAUCUUCUUCAAUCUUCUCCAAACUAGUCAUGUUCUUUCUCCCAUCACCAAACUGAAAACAAAACAAAAAAUUAAAAAGACAUGUGAGAACAAUGAGAGCACCUUAAUCCAUGUUUAACUUAUAUUAUUGUAGCUAACAUUAUUUGAUGAGAUCGAGAGAAGCUCAUGAGGUGAGUUGAUAUGGAUCAUAUGAUUUUCAUUUGGAGUGAAAAUAACAAGGAAAAAAUUGAGGAAGAGCACUAGAAAGAUCAAAGGGCAUAUUAAUGAAGAUUUGAAAACUUUCAUCUCAGAACUUGUAAAUCUGCCCCAAGACAAAGAAAGAUGCCUCAGUAUCACCACCAUGUAGUAUAAAAUAACUUUAGUUAUAAAUUAAUAGAGUCAAGUGCACAAAUGUCAUGAACACGACCUAACACCAAAUAAAUAAUCUUAUCUUAUCUCAAAACAAAACAAAACAAAAGCUAAUCAAUUUUAUAUAUAGAAAAGAUACCAAUAACGAAUAAAUGGUGCCGUCAGCUACGGCCCACUUACAUAGAUGCUCACGUGUACAUGUCCUUAACAUUUCUAUUGCAUUAAGCAUCUGCUAAAUUUUGGAAAAAGACAUCAAAUAAGUUAAUAACAUACACAAGCGUUAGCUAAAAUAAGAGCAGUGUUGAAAUUUUAACUAAUGUACAUUAAUUAAUCAUAUCACAGUUACAGAUGAAACUUUAAUCAGGCCAUGUGCCAUGGUUUACAUUAGGAUCUAUACAUUUAUAUUUCAAUUGAAUCUAUAAUGUUCACAGAACAUAAUUACUUGAAAAAUCACAGUUACACACCCAGCAUGCAGAAACAACUUUUAUUUUAUUUAUUUUGAGUCAAUGAGUCUGAAAUUAAGUCUUCUAAGCCAAAUUGAAUGAAGUAUCAUGUGCAUCACAUCAAAAGGCUUAGCAGGCCUAUUCAUAACAAAAUGCUUUUGAACUUUCAUCACAUUCAUAUGCAACUUCAUGUACUUAUCUUUUGUAACAUUUUGUAAUAUAUUCUUAAUCUCUACUAUUUUCUCCACUGGAAUUUCAACUGAAAAUUCACUCCAAUUCAACACAUCAUUGAAAGGCAAGGAAUAAUUCUGAGAAAUAAUCACAGGUACACACCCAGCAUUAAUUGCUUCCACAAUUCUUGGACUAGCCACUUCAUAUCCACUUGGACACAAACAAAAUUUACUUAGUCCCAUUAAUUCUGUAUAGUUUUGACCCUUUGGAAGAUACUCAUGAACUUGAACUUGUGCAUCUUUGUUCUUCCAAUGAUUUAGUAAUAAUUUUCUAAUGUCACCAUGGGCCCCACCAGAAAAGAAGGCUAAUAUGGUUCUGUUUAAUGGGCUUUGGCCCAGAUUUGGUGGGCCUAACUUUCCAACUGGUAAGUACACUUCAGGGAUAGACACAUCCCUUUUGGGUUGGAACCCUUCAGAAGUGUUGGCAUUGCAUAAGACUCUUGUGAAGUUUUUGAAGAGGUUUGGAUUUGCAUCUGAGAUUUCUGGUGCCUGAAUUAUCAAGUAAAGCAUUUAAACUUUGGUUGCAGACAUUAAAAAAUUUAAAGCAUAGGUUAUAAUGUUAAUAAAAUAUUUCUAUUAUGUCAGACUAAUUGAACUGCAGAAUUGAAAACAUUACAUGAAAUAUGAAUCUCCAAGUAAGGCAUUUAUUCUGUCUGACACCAGGUUCAUCAAAUACAUUAGGUAUUUGUUAUAUGAAUUUUCUAAAAAAACAUCAUGGAUUAAAAUUAUGACAUGUUUCAGCAAAAUAAAAAUAAAUAAUAGGGACAUGCCUUCAUAACCAAAUUCACUACAAUAAUUAGUAUUUGAUUGAAGUAUAUAUUAGCAAUAUUUUUAAAAUGUACAUGAUGGUUAAACAAAUUUAAUGCAGAGUUAUAGACACUAGACAUUGCAUACAUGCAUAUUAUGGAAAAACAAUAAUAAACCUCAGCAUGUUUAAGUUCCUAGUAAUUAAUCAAAUGAAGUGUGAGAAGAAAAUUACCCAGUCAUGACAAGAGAGGAGAAAAUGGUCAGCACCAUUGCUUCUAUUCCAAUAAGGAUACUUAUGAGCCACAACAUUUACAUAAUCCUCCACCAUUCUAUGAAGUCUGUCACGGUUGAAAUCCUUUUUGGACAUAAUUGGCUUAUAAACAUAUUGAACCACAUUUGCAACACUAAAAGGAAGGAAAAAUAUGUGUGCCUCAUUAGGGUGCUUAGCCUUAAAAGGACUCAUUUUGCUAUUGUCUAUUUCAUCAAUGAAUUGACCUUCAAUUGCAUAUAUGUUGUUCACUGGUCCAUCAUGUACUAUUGGUUGCUCUCCUUCUUGGUAUACCCAAAUCUUCAAUCUCUUCACCAUUUCCAUGUGGCUCCUGAUUUUCAUAAUUUUAUUUAGAGAAAAAUACAAGGACUUGUUAGUAAUAAAGAAUCAUAGUAGGUUAUCAAGGUUUCGAAUUGCAGGUGCAACUAUAUAUGUCCAAUGUUUUAAAAGUUAUCAGCAACCGCUAUAGUAGUUGCAACAUCACAAUUACAUGGUUGCGUUAGCUGUAUUUGACUAUGAUUUUUCGCAGUAUCAAAGUCAUGCUAACUAUAUUUGAUUAUAAUUUUUUAUAAUAUCAAAGUCGCGAAUGCAACAGUGCCAUUUUUAAAGACUAAAACAUUGAAAUUUUAAUUCAGAAGAAUUUCUCAAACUUAACUGAUGAAAAGCAUAUGGAUUUCUGUAAAUGGACCCUCUUGGGACAAAAACAUCACGCCUCCUUGAAGUACUGUAAUUCCUUGAAAGAAUUGCUUCUCGAAUUGAGGCUCGAGCUUCGGACAAACUUCCUUCAACUCUAUCCAAGCUACUCAUAAUUUUCUGCAUGCAAACAAAGAUGAUGAAAUAGAAACUUUGGUUUGAGAAAACAGAUAGAUAAUACAAAACUUUGAGCUGAAACUUUUUUGUUGAUCAUUAAUACCUUAAUGCUACUGUUUUCUUUAUGGUCAAAGCUUCUAUAUGCAGAGUUAUAAGUCAGAAACUGAUGAGGUUUAAUUACUUGUGUUGCAUUAUUCAUGUCUUUUAUACUAGGAAGAGAGAAAGGAAAAACAAAGAAGGAAAAAUGAAAUCCUUUUUGAGAAGUGAAGAGAAAAAUGAGGAAGAAGAAGA
rnacentral:lncRNA from 1 species